rnacentral:lncRNA from 1 species
ACACAAUCAAGUAGCAUUGGGGUCCACACGGUUUGGAGAAACAGAAAGGGGAAAAGGAAAAAAAAAAUUGCUCAUCUUCUCCAUUAGGCAAAAUUUCCUCCGUCUACAUAAAACCUCACUAGUAGAAUUAUAGUGGGUUGUUAUUAUUAUUUGUUGUAUAUAAAACUUCACCAAAAUUUCAGCUCUUUACACAUACUUUUAACAUGGAAACUACUUAAUUCCAUCACCUCUAUUCAACCAAUGUUUGGACCACAAAUUAACAAAAGUUCCUCCAGUGAACUUUCCUUGACUGCAACACCACCCUUUCUCUAUUUUUAAAGCUCCCCACCACCGUCCUUUAUCAUUUUCUUUGUCAAAAUUAUCAGUGAAUUAGAAAUCAGAAAUGGGUUGAAUAUUAAGGGUAAAUUUCGGGCUAGAUCUCUGGAUUUGAACUCCAACCGAAGUUGCCGUUAGGGUGGGUAUUCUUCGAGUGUUAUGGUCUGCGGUAUCGGUCCAGAUUUGAAACGCAAUCGAGGUGCUAUUGUCAGAUUUGGUUUCUAGUUCAUCUCUGAGUAACGUUGUUUCUGUAUAAAGAGGUUCUUGCUUGAUCAAAAUCUGGAGAAAACUUUGCUACACAAAAGAUUCGGGGACGUUUGGAGAUCAAUUCACGAAGCAGGGGCAUAGCGGAGUAAGAAAUUAUGCGGUUUCGAGAUAAGUAUCUUGCCUAACCUUGAGUGGGGGAAUUACCCCUUAGGCAUCGAGUCUUAUGUGCCAUUUGUGAAAUAUGAAAAACCGUGUACGCGAGGUGACGAGUACGUACUCGGGCUUAUAUGUGCAAUUUUAUUGGAUUAAAGUCUUAGGCAUUAUUGUGUAAUAAAUUGGAUAAUUAUUGGCAUUUAUUAAAUCAUCUAUUUGUCAUGCCUCAAUCCUUGUUUGUUGAAUUUGUUUUUUAUAUGACAAUUUGAUGUGAUUGUUACUUGAAUAUUUAUGUAAAUUUCGUGAGUUUGUUGAUUUGAUAUUUUCUGGAAAUAAUUAUAUUAUGAAUUUUUCCAUCUGCAAAUAAUUAAUGAACUAAGUUUAAACUUAGGCGUUAAUAUAAUUAUCAAGAAUUUGGAUUAAUGAAGGCUUUGCCCUAUACUGAGUAUUUUCUAUCUCUGUUGAUUGUGUUUGAGAUUUUAUAUACAUUGUGUAGAGCCUUAUGCUAUUUUUGAGAAAUUUAUUGAUUUUACUAUAUCAUUGGAAUUGGUUGUGGUUGUUGGACAAUUUGUGAUAGGAAUUGAUUGUGUUGUGUUGUCGUGAUAAUAUCCCGUAUAAAUUGUUGUGUGAUUUGAGUUAUUAUUAUGAGUAUAUAAGAGUAAAAUUUCACUGUUGAUAUUAUGUGGGUACAAGGGUGACAUUUCACCGUGGUUAUGUGUGUUGAGAUAUUGUCUGGACGGAGCGAUAAGGGUGGCUAUUAUACGGAGCGAUAAGGGUGGUUGAAGGAGCUAUAAGGGUGACUAUUGAUAUUGUCAGGGCGGAGGGAUAAGAGAGGCUAUUAUAUGAGUGAUAAUGGUGGCUAUAUGAGAGAUAAGGGUGACCAUUGUUAGGGCGAUGGGAUAAGAGAGGCUAUUAUAGGAGUUAUAAGGGUAGCUAUAUGAGAGAUAAAGGUGACCAUUGUCAGAGCUGAUACGUGAUGAUGUGGAGUUAUUGUGUUGGUAAUUUUUAUGUGACGAUGUGGGGUUAUUGCGUUGGUAAUUUUCAUGUGAUAUUGUGAUUUUUCUUGUGUUUAUUUUUAUAUCUUGUGCAAUUUGUCUUGUUGUUGGUAAAUUGAUAAUAGUUUGAUAUAUGUUGAAAUUGGGAGCCUGUGGUUAUUGCCAGACAGAUUAUGAAAUGAAAUGUGGGCACGAGGUGUCGUGAGUAAAUAAUGAUGAUAUUAGCACGUGAACUGUUUGUGCAGUUGUGAUAUGAAAUGGGGGUACGAGGUGCCGUGAGUAAAUGAUGAUGAUAUUAGCACAUGAGUUGUCCGUGCGGUUGUGAUAGAGAAAUUGGCACAAUGUGCCGUGAAAAUAUGAAAGUGGACUGAGACCCGUAUUUUUAUGAUUUUGAAAUAAGGUGUCACAUGGUGAUUUUUAUUCGAAAGAUAUUUAUUUGAAAGAGUUAUAUUUGAAAGAUAUUUAUUUGAAGGGAGUAUAUUCGAAAUAUAUUUAUUAGAGAGUAUUAUAUCCUGAAGAUUAUUAUUUGAAAAAAAUAUAUAGGCGAAAGAUUUAUAUUUGAAGGACUUGAUUAAUUGGUUGUACUUGUAUUCAUUAUUUAUUGUGCAAUAUUUAUGGUAUUCUUGUUGCCCUGUUAUGUAUACCACUGGUUGAUUAUUGUUACCAUCAUUGUUAUUUGUUUCAUAUUAUUUUUGUAUACUAUAUUGCAUAUGUUAUUAAACUAGUGAGNNNNNNNNNNNNNNNNNNNNNNGUAUCACGACGCCUGUGGUGGAAUUUUGGGUCGUCACAUAUUUCUAUAAGUUAAAAGUGCUCUAACUAUUCACCAUAAAAUUGAAGAAAAAGAAAUUCUCACACGAAGAACACCCGUUGUUUAAACAAACACAUUGGAGAUUUAAUGACUAUGCUUCUUUUGUCAAUAUGCAAACUUAAAAAAAGCAAAAAGGUUUUUUAUACAUUUUCCUAAAAAUAAAUAUUUAAAUAUUUUCAGGAAUAUAAGUACAUUAAAAAUAAUUAUGAGAGAGUUGGAAAACUAUUUUCUCAUUGAAAGGGUUUUUUACAUUUUCCAUUUUUUCAACACAUCUCUUAAAAAUACUUUGUUUUUAAUUUUCUUUGCAGAAAUAAAUACUUCUCAUCAAAUGGAAUGUGUAUCAAACCAAAAAUACUCAACGAAAAAGAUUUCCAAAAAAAUUGUAUAGCCACCAUCCAAAUAUUAUAGUAAUAGUAUAUCUUUUUUUAGAACUAUGACAUACUCUUUUAAAAGCUAAUUUCUCUUGUUGAAUUUAAAGUAACCUCCAACAAUUGCAUGAGUUCUCCCAUUUUUUUCAAAAUUAAAAUUAAAAUAUUUGUACAAUAUCAAUAUCUUAAUUCAGCCGCAACAGUUUGUAUCUCGUAGCUUUUCAAAUUUUAAAAUACAAAUCAAGUUUAUUUCUAAUCUUAUUCGGUAGUUAGAAUUAACAACUUGGAAUUAGCGUACGGACUUUAUAUGAACGAACUUUUUGUCCUUUUACUAUAAAGAAAAAUAGGUGCAGUAAAAUAAAAUACUAAAAAAUAUUAAUACUGUCUGUUUUGAAUUUUGAAUUUAUCUUCUAAUUGCUUGUGAAUGGUAUGAUUCAGAAAACGUAAUAUUGGAAUUAUUCUCAUAUAAGAGCACCAGUCAACAAUCAAAAAUGGGGAGUAAAGUACCGGUGGGUUACGAUUCGGUCGGUUAUUAUAAAAGUACGGUUUGGUUUAUCGAUUUUUGAUUUUUUAAUAUUAAUAACCAAAUCAAACCAAAGUAUUUACGGGCACUUUCAUAUAUUGAAUGAUACAGGCCAUAUUUUUUCGUAGGGAUCUCUUCUGCAACUUCCCGACUCAAAGAAACCAAAUUCAUCAUAUAACCAAAACUGAUAAAUACUUCAAACAAGAAGAUAAGCAAAUACAGUUUAGCUGAAACUCGCCGCUAUCAAAGUCCAAAACUAGUCUAGAAAUACCAUCACCAAACAAUAAAACAGUGGCAAACUAGUCACAACCCGCAAACCACAAAGUAAGUUUAGAAAAGGAUACUUUAAAGUCUUAAAUACGAAUCACUGGAUGAGACAUGAGACACUUCUUAAUAUGCUUUACUAAGCCAAAAGUGCCAUAAUACUUCGGAUGACAAUUAUAAACUCGACCACAAUGAAGGCACUUUAUUUUGCGGGCUUCUUCAUUUUCUUCAAUUAGCUCAAAAUAUUCCCAAAUAGGUGAUCUAGCUUUAGGACCGUGAGGAAUGGUUGAACCUACAAAAUAAGAAAAGAUCACAAGUUAAUAAAAUAUUUUUAAUUAAAAAUAACAAAAGGAUAUCAUAAAACAAGCAAAUUUUUUAAACUUACCACUUGUUCAAACUAUGCAUCAACAAUGCUAGUAUCUCUUUCAACAAUGCAAGUUUCUCUUCCGCUCUUUCCCAUAUCUAAAUAUAAUUUGAUAAAGUGUGUCAUUUAAACUUACAAAGUAAACUAAUUUUCACUAAAAUACUCAUAAAACGCAAAAUCUUACCAAGUUCAAUUUGCUCAAGAAACUCCAAAUCUUCUUCAAUAUUAAUAGGAGUACCAUCACAUCUAAGCCAAUAUUGAACACAAACAAGACUUUGCACCAAUCGAGGAGUCAAUGAACUCCUAAAUGAAUCAAGAAUGCGGCCACGGUGCUAAAUGCACAUUCCGAUGCAACACUAGAAAUUGAAAUGGCUAAUACAUCACGAGCUAGCUUAGAUAGAAUAGGAAAUCGAGGCGCAUUAAUUUUCCACCAAUCUAAGAUUUUAAAGUCAUCAGAAUCAUCAGACAAUGGCUCUUGUCCUUCACCAAUAUAUCUUUUCAACUCAGAUUUAGCACCUACACUUUCGAAGUCUUCCUUUUGCCUUUUCAAUAAUUGCUUUAUUCUCAUAGAUUUUGUUCUCACAUUAGAUGAAUCAGAUGUUGUCAUCAGAUGAAGUAGAUUUAGAUGGAGACGAUUGAAGAUAAAAUCCUUUGGAAUAUAUUUUUUGAUACUCCCCAAACAAAGAAUUCAAAUAAGCAUCCACUUCGGCGGCUAAUUUCUUCCCUGGUUCGUUUCCGAAUAUUUCCUCAAGUGCAAAACUAACAUACUCUAAUUUGUUAUGAGGAUCUAAUACAAAAGUAAUGAAUAUCAUUUUAUUCAUCUUUUCAGGUUCACUCUAAUAUUUUUUAAACUUUUCUUUCAUAUUCCCCGCCAUCUUACUCAAAUUAGUAUCAUCACUAGCUAAACAAGCUUUCAAAUGACUAUCAAGCUCACAUAUAUCCUUAAAAUGACAAUUAGAAGUGACAUAACGUGAACCUGAAAAUUUUUCGGUGGGUUCGUGAAAUCAUUCAAGAAACUUUAUCACGUUUCUCACAUUCACCCAAUCAUCACAUACAAAUAGACCUGCAACAUUCCCAUCCUCACAAAUAUACGUACAAAGAUGAGUAGAAAAUCCAUCAUUAAAAAGAUGAAGCUUGUCAAAGGCCUUCUCAAAGUUUUGCGCCGUUUCUAACAUCAAGUAGGUUGAAUUCCACCUAGUAGGAAUAUCCAAACACAAUGUUUUGCUACAUUCUACCUCUUGAUGUGCCCAACAUUCCCUAAACUUUAAGGUCCUUUGUGGAGAUGAUCUCACAUACUUCACAGCUUGUCUAAUACGUUUUACAGAAAUAUCAAUUUCCUUCAAACCAUUUUGCACAAUUAGAUUAAGUAUGUGUAACGACCCGACAUGUCAUUUUAAGAAUUUAAACCCCGUCUGGCGGCAUAAGGCCCUGAGCAGCUUCUUAUUAUGUGUAUUGACUUGCGUACAUGGUUGAAUUCAGUUACCGGAUGAUUCUGAGUGAUUUGGAAAACGUGGUCCCCAAAACGAAAACUUAAGUCUUAGGAUUUUUACCGUAGCCAGAACUGUGUGAAGACGACUCCGGAAUAGAAUUUUGAUGAUGUCAAUAGCUCCGUAUGAUAAUUAUGGACUUAGGAGUGUGUCCGAAAAAUUAUUUGGAGGUCUGUAGAGGAAUUUGGCUUGAAAUGGCGAAAGAUGAAUUUUUGGAAAGUUUGACCGAGGGGUUGACUUUUUGAUAUCGGGGCCAGAAUCCGAUUCUGAAAAUUGAAAUAGCUUCGUUAUGUCAAUUAUCACUUGUGUGCAAAAUUUGAAGUCUUUCCAAAUUGAUUUGAUGUGUUUCGGUACAAGAUAUAGAAUUUGAAAUUUUAAAGUUUAUUAGACUUGAAUUGAGGUAUGAUUCGUGACUUUGAUUUUGUUUGAUGUGAUUUGAGGCCUCGCGCAGGUUCGUAUUAUGUAUUGGGAUUGGUGGUACGAUUGGACGGGGUCCCGGGGGCCUUGGGUUUGAUUCGGGGUGGUUCCGGACCAAGUUUGGGUAUUUUGAUGUUGCUGGUUGCUGGUUCUGGUGUUGUUCUUCGUGUUCGCGAGGAGCCUCUCGCGUUCGCGAAAAAGGAUUUUGCUGUUGGGACUUUGUUCUUCGCGUUCGCGAAGAGGUUCUCGCGAUUGCGAAGAAGGAAAUUUUACUGUUCGUUGUCUGUAUUUAGAGGCUCAUAUCUUGCAAUCUAUAAGGAAUUUGGCGAUGAUCCAAAAUUUAAAAUUAUAGCCUUUUCUGUCUAGUUUUCAGAAAGGUAAACUAUUUUGAAUUUGAAGUUGUGUACAAAAAGUUAUAGUGGAUACACUAUAGGCUGUCCGGGAAGAGUUUGGAAAUCUCUGUUGCACAGGGCUAAUUUUGGAAGCUUAUAUCUCGUAAUCUAUAAGGAAUUAGGAGAUGAACAACAAAUUAUAGUUAUAGCUCAUAGAGUCUAGUUUUCAGAAAGUCAAACCAUUUAUCAUUUGGAGUUUUGUACAAACAGUUAUGACCAUUAUACUAGAGGCUGUCUGAGAAGAGUUUGAAGAUGACUUUUGAAGAAUUUGUUCAUCGCGAACGGGAGGGGAGUCUCGUGAACGCGAAGAACAAACCCCUGGGCAGCAGAAUAAAGUCCAAAUUCGUGUCAUUCUUCCAUUUUGGACCAAGGAAGAUCGGGUGAGACGAUCUUUCGAGAGUUUUUCAAGAAAAAUAUUGGGGUAAGAAUUCCUAACUUGAUUUUGGUUAAAUUACAUGAAUCUAUUGUGAUUUUUAUCACUAAAUUAGUGAAUUGGGUUGAAAAAUUUAGAAAAUCCUCUUGGUUUAAAUUUAAGAUUUGGAGGUCGAUUUUUUAUUGGAAUUCGAUAAAAUUGGUAUGGUUGAACUCAUAUCGGAAUGGGUGUUCAGAUUUUAUGAAAAUUAUAUCGGGUUCCAAGAGGCAAGCCCCGCAUUGACUUUUAUUGACUUUUUAGAAUAAAAUUUUAAGUCGACGUAUUAUUAUCCGAAAUUAUUUUCGAUGAAGUUUAAUGAAGUUAUACAAUUAAUUUGGAUAGAUUUGAGCUGUCCGGAGGUCAAUUCAAGCAAGAAGGUUAUUUUGGAAUAUCGGCCUAACUUCAAAAAGGUAAUUGUCUUGCCUAACCUCGAGUGGGGGAAUUACCCCUUAGGCAUCGAGUCUUAUGUGCCGUUUGUGAAAUGUGAAAAGUCGUGUACGCAAAAUAUAUUGGGUUUAAGUCUUAGGCAUAUUGUAUAGUAAAUUGGAUAAUUGUUGGCAUUUAUUUAAUCAUCUAUUUGCCAUGCCUAAAUCCUUAUUGGUUGAACUUGUUUUUAUAUAACAAUUUGAUGUGAUUGUUAUUUUAAUAUUUAUAUAAUUCCGUGAGUUUAUUGGUUUGAUAAUUCUGGGAAUUUAAUUUCAUUUUGAAUUUUUCCUUUGCAAAUAAUUAAUUAAGCAAGUUUAAGAAGACGCGUUAAUAUAAUUAUCUAAAUUUGGAUUAAUGAAGGCUUUCAUUUAUGCUGAAUAAUUUCUAUCUUUGUUGAUUGUUUUUGUGGUGUUAUACACAUUGUGUGGAACCUUCGGCUAUUUGUUGUAAAAUUUAUUGAUUUGAUUUUAUCUUUGGAAUUUGGUUGUGGCCAUUGGGCAAAUUGUGAUAUGAAUUGAUUUUGUUAUGUUGUCGUGAUAAUUUUUCGUAUAAAUUAUUGUGUUGUGUGAGUUGUUAUUUUGAGGAUAUAAGGGUGGCAUUUCACUAUUGUUAUUUUGAGGAUAUAAGGGUGGCAUUUCACUGUUGAUAUUAUGUGGGUAUAAGAGUGGCAUUUCACUGUCGUUGUGUUUGUUGGAAUAUUGUCUGGGCGGAGCGAUAAGGGUGGCUAUAGGAGCGAUAAGGGUGGCAAUAGGAGCGAUAAGGGUGGCUAUUGAUAUUGUAUGGGCGGAGCGAUAAGGGUGGCUAUAGGAGCGAUAAGGGCGGCAAUAGAAGCGAUAAGAAUGGCUAUUGUCAGGGACGAUAUGUGAUGAUGUGGGGUUGUGGUGUUGAUAAUUUUUAUGUGAUGUUGGGAUUUUCUUAUGUUUAUUUUUAUACUUUGUGCCAUUUGUCUUAUUGUUGGUAAAUUGAUAACAAUCUGAUUUAUGUUGAAAUUAAGAGCCUGAGGCUAUUACCAGGAAGAUUAUAAAAUAAAAUGUGGGCACGAGGUGCCGUGAGUAAAUAAUGAGGAUAUUCAGCACGUGAAUUGUUCGUGCAGUUGUGAUAUGAAAUGUGGGCACGAGGUGCUGUGAUGAAAUGAUAAUGAUAAUUGGCACGCGAAUUGUCCGUGCAGUUGUGAUUUGAAAUGAGGGCACGAGGUGCCGGGAAAAUAUGAUGAUUAAACUAUGGGCACGAGGUGCCGUGGAAAUAUAAAAAUUGGCUGAGACCCAUAUUUUUACGAUUAUGAAAUGAGGUGUCACAUGAUGACUUUUUAAUUGAAAGAAUUAUAUUCAAAAUAUUUAUUUGAAAGGAUUUUCAUUCAAAAAGAAUUAUAUGAAAGAAUUGUAUUUGAAAGAUAUUUAUUUGAGAAAAUUAUAUUUGAAAAGAUUUAUUGAAAGAAUUAUAUUUGAAAAAUAAUUAUUUGAGAAAAAUUAUAUUUGAAAGAGAGUUAUCUGGAAGAAUUAUAUGUGAAAGAUAGUUAUUUGAAGGACUUGAUUUAAUUGGGUGUAGUUGUAUUUAUUAAUUAUUGAGUGAUAUUAAUGGUACUCUUGUUGUCUAUUGUGCAUAUCACUGGUUGUUUUAUCCUGCCCUUAUUGUUAUUUGUUUUCUAUUAUUUUGUAUAAUAUAUAUUGCACAGGUUAUUAGACUAGUGAGUGUCUUGAUUGUACCUCGUUUCUACUCCACUGAGGUUAGUUUUGAUACUUACUGGGUACCGACCGUGGUGUACUCAUACAAUACUUCUGUACAUUUUUGUGCAGAGCUAGGUAUUGGAGAUAUCGGACUUGAGCAGAGUUAAAUCGGGAUCGUAAGGAUUCAAGGUAGAGCUGGUUGGCCGUCGCAGUCCCUUGGAGUCUUUUCAUUUCAUUGUACUGUUAAUUUGUAAUCAAAGAAUAUUGUAUAUUCGGUCCUCGUGAUCAUUCCAUGUAUUCAGUUAAAGUUCGUGACUCAGUACUACCAGUCUUGGGAGGUUAUAUAUUCAUAUUUAUUCCGAUGUUAGUUUUUAUUACUUAGUUUUAAAAAGCAAAAAUGGCUUCAAAAUGCAAUUGAAAACGGCUUACCUAGUCUUAGAGACUAGGUAUCAUCACGACGCCUAUGGUGGAAUUUUGGGUCGUGACAGUAUGUGAGUCAUGCAUCUCACAUGAAGAUGCUUACCAUUUAUCGAAUUAGUUUUCCGCAUAUCUAGUUGUUUAAACAAUUCUUUGAUCGUGACAUCAUUCGAAGAAGCAUCAUCUAUAGUAACAGUGAAUACCUUAUCCAAUUUUCAUUCAAGCAAAUAAUUACCAAUAACUUUUGCCAUUUUGUCACCCUUAUGACUAUCGAUAGGGCAAAAAUAUAGUAUUAUUUUAUGCAACACCAAAUCUCUAUCUAUCAAAUGACCCGUCAAACACACAUAGUUAAUUCUUUGUAACGAAGUCCAUGUAUCUGUGGUAAGUAAAUUUUUGGUUUUACUUCUCUGAAAAUUUUCAUUAGUUUAAGCCUCUCUUCACUGUAAAUUUAAAAACAAUCUCUUGUAAUUGUCCUACGAGAAGGAACAUUAAAUAGAGGUUGGGCUAUGCUCAUAAACUUCUUAAAGUCUUUCUUUUCAACAAAGCUAAAAGGUAAAUCCUCCGUAAUUACCAUCUCAACUAAAGCCCUCCUAACUAGUUCUUGAUCAAAUUUUCAAAGCACCCCGCCAUUAAUUUUCCCAUCCUUUUGUAAACACAUUUGUGUUUGAGUAUUAUCAAAUUUCCGUGGUAUUUUUGGACACUUUUUUAAAUGAGUAUUCAAUGAUGUUGUUCCAUACAAUUGUGAAUCAGCCUUAUAAUCACGACCACAAUGUUUACACUUUGCUCUAUCACCUCUAUUAUCAUAUUUAAACUUUUAAAAAUGAUCCCAAGAUAUUGAUCUACAUUGUACGGAUUUUCUUUUUUUGGGGCCUUGACUAGUUUCAACUGAAUUUGUAGGUGAAGAAGUAGGUUCACUUUCAGAUGAACCCACCUCACUUACUCUACUUUCAACUUCUGCCAUCUAUACAAAAUCGAAUGAAAACAGACUUAAAAAUGCAAACUGGUAUACAAUAUAAAUCUAUCAUGUCGCAACUCGCAUAAAAUUAAGUAGGCACAGAGGCAAAAAGAAUAAAAGAACAAAAGAACAACAGCAAAAACAGAGGCAAAAAAACAAAAGAGGCAGUUGUCACUUCUUUUUGGCAAAUAUUAACUCGAAAGAGUCCUAAAAAUAAGAGGCAAAUGCGCAUAUAUACUAUUAUACUAUAAACAAGAGCAGAAAAUUGAAAGUUGAAAGAAACCAGCAGGAAGAGCGACGAGGGAAAACUGAAAAGGAACUGAGAAGAAGGAGGUAACCACUAACCUGAGGAUGAAGGAUGAAUGACGAGCGGAGGACGAAGGCGUCACAGGCUCACAGCAGUCGGGCGUCGCCACAGUCGCACAUAGGAGGAAGGAAGUCGGGACUCUCAAGUCUCAAGAACAAGAACCCUAAUUAGAAAUAAUUUCUAAUUUCUAAGGAAGGGAAUUAGAAAAGUAAUAUAAGUCUAUGUUGGGUUAGGUACUGGUAUUGGGUAAAUUGGGUUUAAGAUGGGUAUUGGGUAGAUUGGGCUUCGGAUGGAUAUUGGGUUUCAGAUGGGUAAAUUGGGUUUCAGAUGGGUAUUGGGUUUCAGAUGAGUAACGUAAGUCUGUGUUGUCCUAUUGAAUUAGGUACUCAUACCCAAAAAUUUACUUUUUCGGUUUAACCGAAAACCAAAAUACCAAAACCGUUAACCGCACCGAAUACCAAAAUUUAAUAAUUUAUAAAUCGCACACCGACCGAAUAACCGAUUAAACCGACACCAAAAAAUCAAAAUUUACGGUUCGGCUGAUUUUUUCGAUUCGACCGGUAUUAUGCCCCACCCUAGAGUAAAGGGUGAAGUUAACAAGGGACAAAAGAAUUACUACCACAAAUUAAAGGAACAAAAACAAAUUGCUUUUUUUCUCCAACAACAGUAAAAUUGCUUUGUUAACCAAUAGAAUUGCUACGUUUGACGCAAUGAACACAUGUGAUGUCAAAACAUGGGAUGCACAAGUGGUGUAAUGACUAAAUUAUCCUCAGACCUUAAUUAAAUGACAUUAAGAACACAUAUCAAACAUACAAUCAUUAUUCACAUUUCUAUAUAGUAGAAAAAGGACAUGAGAUGUUUCAUUUUGCUUCGAUGUUCUUAUUGAAUUUAUGGUGUUACUGCUUGUUGUUAUUACUUUUUUUUUUAAUUUGACUCGAGGGUCUAUCAACAACAACCUCUUUACCUUUUCAAGGUAGGAAUAAGAUUGCGUACGCACCACCCUUCCCAGAUCUCACUUGUAAAAUUUUACUGAAUUUAUUAUUAUUGUUAUUGUAGAAAAAGGAUACUAGUAUCCGUUAAUUCUCCAAUAGAUUAACAAAAAUCAUAAGAAUUAAAUACGAAAAGGUUAUCAAAAUUCUGGAGUAAAAUCUACAAAUCAACUAUGAACAGGAAAUAUAAGAGAAAUUUAAUUUAAAAAUAAAAAAUAAAAGAUCUGGAAAAAAUAGUCGGGUUAUUAGGUGUUAUACCUACGAGGUUAGACCACUAAUAUUUGGAAUAUAUUUGGUCAAGCUUCUAGGAGGUCAAAAGUAUUUUUUUAAAAAAAUUUGAUGUGUUUGGCCAAGAUGAAAUAGUGCUUUUGAGCAGCAGCAAAAGCAAUUUUUCUGCUUUUAAAAAGAAGCUACAAAUUCUAGAUUCUUCGAAGAAGCAGAAUCAGAAAAUUAAUUUUUUAAGACAAAAAUAUCUUUACUAAAAAAUUUAUAUAUUUCAAAUGAUACUUCAUUAAUUUAAUUUUUUUGUUUCUUUUUAAUUAUUAUCAUCCCUUUUUUAGUUUUUAUUUAUUUUAUUUUUAUCGAAUUUUUAUUCUUCUUCUCUUAUACGUCUUUGAAUUUUUAUUCUCCUUCUCCUUCAGUUAGAGUACAGUGGAGAGGUCGGCCGAUUGAAGCAGCCAUGUGGGAAUCCGAGUUCAACAUGCGUAAUAGAUAUCCACACCUCUUCACUAGUCCAACUACCUUUCUUUGUCCGUUCGAGGAUGAACGUUAAUUUUAGAGGUGGAGAAUGUGAUGAUCCGAUAGGUCACUUUGAGUUUUAGCCUUCAUUUAUGUGUUCCGAGACCUCGAACAGCUCCGUUUAGCCUUCCUCGAUUUACGUACAUAAUUCAUAUCUUUUUUCGGAAAUUUUUUCUGUGAAAAAUUGAAGAAAAUAAAUUUUAAUCUUAAAAUGAUUUGAGUUGACUAUGGUUAAUAUUUUAUGUAAACGAACCCGAAUCAGUAUUCUGACGGUCCCUGUGGGUUUGUAUCGUGAUUUGGGACUUGGGCGUACGCCCGUAAUCGAAUUCGAAAGUCCCUAACUUGAUUUAACGUGAGCUGUUGAAAACUAGUAAUUUGAAGGUUAAAAGAAUUCUCAAGUUUGAUUGUAGGUUGACUUUGUUGCUGCUGAGUUCAUUUGGAAUAGGUUUAUUUCAUCAUUUAUGACUUGUUUGCAAAAUUUGGUGUAAAACGGAGUUGAUUUGACGUGAUUCGGACAUCCGGUUGUUAAUUUACAUGUUCUUGAGUCCUUUGAAAAUUUCAUACAUUUUGAUGUCUGAUUCGUAGUUUAAGGUGUUAUUUUAGUAUUUGAUCGCAUGAGCGAGUUCAUAUGAUAUUUUUAGACUUAUAUUGAUGUUUGGUUUGGAGCCCCGAUGGCUCAAUGUGAGUUUCAGGUAAGUUUCAGAGAGUUUGGGAGAGUUUUGGUGUUGCUGGUGUGAUCUGGUGUGCAGGUCUCGCAAAUGCAAGAUUAGAUAUCGCAUUUGCGAUGAAUGGCCAAGUUUAUUAUGAUCGCAUUUGCGAAUAUUUGUUCGCAAUUGCGAAGAUGGCCUGGGAACAACAGAGAUUGCAUUUGCGAUCAUUUGAUCGCUUUUACCAAGUUCCAAUGUUCGCAUUUGUGAACUGGUCAUCGUAAUUGCGAUGACAGCAGAGAUGUGUGGAAUUCGCUUUUGUGAUGACGCGAACCCCAUGUCGCAUUUGCGACUGGACAAAAAGCUGAGGGACGAGAGUUUUAGCCUCAUUUUCAUAUCUUGGAACCCUAGCCUCGGUAGGAGGCGAUUUCGAAAAGGGAAUUUCAUCUACAAAAUUUGAGUGAGUGAUUCUAAUCCUAUUUUAUCAAUUUAUCUUAGAUUUUAACAUCAAAAUUAUGUGAAUCAAAGUGAAAGUUUGUGGAACCUUGUCAAGUUUUUGAAAAAUAAAAAAUCAACUUUUCAAAGUCGAUUUGGACUCGAAUUUUAAAACUAAUCACAUAUAUGAACUCGUGGGGUCAGGGGUAGUCGGAAUCUACCAUUGGACUCGAGUUUUGACCGGGCGUGCCCCGGGUCGACUUUUGUUGACCUUUUGGAAAAAGAGUAAAGAUCUUAGCUUUAUCUAUUGUAAUUGAUUUUCCAAGCAUUGUUUGAUGAUAUUAAGUCGAUUUUGGUUAGAUUCGAUUGGUUUGGAGGCGAAUUUUAGAGGAAAGGCCGUGGUUGAACUUUGAUUUGGUUGCGGAGUGAGGUAAGUGUUGGGUCUAUCCUUGAUUUGAGAGAAAUAGGAACCCUUGAACACGAGUGUAUAUACGCCGUCAAAAUGAUUGUUUCCAUGACUUUUUCGUAUUUCUUGAAUUAUCUCACUCCAUGCCUUAAUUGUUACAUGCUUUAAUUGCUUUCUAUGCCGUAAUUUGUUACUUGCCAUCAAUUAUUUUUGUAUUGAAUUUUUCGUUCCUUCCACGACUCCGUGAUUAAUUGCUACUUGGCUUAAUUAUCUUACUUGCACACCUUAAUUGUCACGUACUUGACUUGUUUUGUUGCUUUUGUAUUAUAUGUAGCAUUCUUUUGAUUAGUACGUGGUUUCUAAAUUGAAUUAUUGAAUUGAUUGCGUUUAUUGAGAAUGUUUAUAGAUCGGGUUGCAUGCUGCAACGGUUGUAAUAUGGUGGAAUAAGGGAGGGUUUUGACAUUGAUUAUAAUGAUAUGGUGGGAUCGGGUUGCGCACCGCAAUGGUUGUGUACGUAAUACUUGUUAUUGAUAAAUUAUGACAUAGUGAAAUAAGGGAGGAUUAUGACAUUGAUUAUGAUGAUAUAUUGGGAUCGGGGUUCUUGAUAAUGAUAAAUGAUAUUAUGGUGGAAUAAGGGAGGAUUGUGUGUGUACGGUAAGAUCGGGUUGCGCGCCGCAAUGGAUUAUGUAUGUUGUACUCAUUAUGUUAUUGUGUUAGUUUUCAUCCUUUUAUAUGAUAUUUUGAGGUCUCAUAUUCUAGAUUCUCUGGUUGCGAGGAUUGAGCUCAUUUUCAUAAAUUAACUGCUUUUCCGUCAUUUCUUGUUUUCUUCGCUGUUAUUAUUAUUAUUACUGCAUACAGGUUAUUUUAAGUGACCCACCUUAACCUCGUCACUACUUCGUCGAGGUUAGGCUCAGCAUUUAUAGAGUACAUGAGGUCGGUUGUACUCAUACUACACUCUGCACUUCUUAUGCAGAUUUUAGAGUUGGUCCUAGCAGUGGUCAGUAGAUUUCUUGGAUCCGAUGCUUGACGGAGACUUGAGGUACAGUUUCACAACGUUCGCGGCCCUGAAGUCCCCAUCUACAGUACCCUAGCUAUUUAUUUCAAUUCAGACAGUUAUGCUUUCAUUCUGACUAUUAUUUGUAGUAAUCUAGACGCUCGUGUAUUCGUGACACCAGUUCUGUGAUUUGUAUUUGGAUCGUCGUUUAUCAGAUUUAUCUACUUUAUUUCAGUUUAUUUAGCUUAUUGGUUUUCAUUUGAUUUGAAUUAUUAAAAAUGGUUAAUAACUAUAUCUAACAUUGGCUUACCUGGAAAGUGAAAUGUUAGGUGCCAUCACGGUCCCGAGGUUGGGAAUUUCGGGUCGUGACAAGUUGGUAUGAGAGCACUAUGUUGCUUAGGUAUCAUGAGUCAUGAGCAAGCUUAGUAGAGUUUGGGAGAUUGGUGCAGAGACGUCUGUACUUAUCUUUCAGAGGCUACGGAGUUUAGUAAAAAAUUCACUUCUUUCCUUCUCUAUCGUGUGAUUUUAUUCUAUUAUUGAUGAUUGAACCAUUCUAUUCUUAUUCUCUCGCAGAUGGCGAAAAAACGCACAACAUCUACAGCCGGACAAGAGCCGGAGCCCCUUAUGAUAGCUACUACCAAGGUCAGAGGCCGAGGCAGAGACAGAGCUCAACCUAGAGCUCGAACAACAUCACCCGCAGUGGAUCCUCAGAUUGAUCAUGAGGAUGAGGUCCUAGCUCAGACCGUUCCCUUUGGACCAGCUCAGAUCCUUGGGGGGGAUUUAUAGCCACUCCCGUUCUUUAGGACGCUCUAGUCCGCUUAGUGAGCCUUAUGAAGAGUGGCCAAGAUCGGUGCAUUCCCGAUGGCACCAGCCGUCUCUCGGGCUGGAAGAGAAGCACAAACUCCCGCUACUCACACCCCGGAGUAGGUGACUCCCAUGUAUCAGACUCCAACAGCCCAGCCAUUUGGGGUGGUUCAGCCGGUUGUUACGACACAGGCCGGUGAUAGGCCCACUAUGUCUUCUGAGGCCUUGUUGAGGUUGGAUAAGUUUACCGAGCUCUUCCUUAUUCAUUUCAGCGGUGCAUCUUCUUAGGACCCACAAGAUUACUUGGACUGUUUGCCACAAGAUAUUGCACAACAUGGGUAUAGUUGAGACCAAUGGGGUCAACAUUAUAGUGUUUCAGAUGACUGGUUCCGCCAAGAGAUGGUGGAGAGAUUAUAUGUUGACGAGACAAGCUAGUUCGCCUGCACUUACCUGGGAUUAGUUUUCACAGCUAUUUCUACAUAGGUUCAUUCCUUUCACUCUAAGAGGAUUACCGCAGAUAGUUUGAGCAUUUUCAGUAGGGUAGUAUGACUGUUACCCAGUACGAGACUCGAUUUGUGGACUUAGAUUGCCAUGCCAUUGUUUUACUCCCUACUAAGAGGGAGAGAGUGAGGAGAUUCAUUGAUGGGCUCACUUUCAGUAUCAGGCUACAGAUGGCCAAGGAGAUUAGAGAUGAUAUUUCUUUCCAGAGGGCCGUAGAUAUUGCUAGACAGAUUGAAAUGGUUCGUGGUUAGGAGGGGGGCAGGUGUCUGAUAAGAGGCCUCGUUAUUCCGAUGGUUUCAGUGGCGCCUCAUUUGGAGGCAGAGGUACUUUUGGUAGAGGUCAGGGGUCAGGCUGCCAGAGGCGGAGGUCAGGCCAUUAGAGGUGGAGGUCAGACUGUUAAAGGUGGAGGCAAGACAGCUAGAGGCCGUUCGAGAGACGGAGGUUAGGGUGGUGGGGCCCAGGCUCGAUUUUAUGCAUUCCCAGUUAGACCUAAUUCGGGCUCAACUUAUUCCUACGUGUCAUCCUAUUUUUCUUCAUACCUGGUUGUGCCUCGUGAUUCUUUGAGUGCUCAUGUGUAUGUGUCCAAGCCCAUGGGAGAUUCUAUUGUUAUAGACCAUGUCUAUCUCUCGUAUGUGAUCACUAUUGGGAGUCUUGAGACUAGUGUAGAUCUCCUGCUUCUUGAUAUGGUAGACUUUGAUGUUAUUUUGGGCAUGGAUUGGCUAUCACCUUAUCAUGCUAUAUUGGAUUGUCACGCCAAGAUGGUGACCUUAACCAUGCUAGGGUUGCCUCAAUUAGAGUGGAGAGGGACUCCUGGCCACUCUACCAGCAGAAUUAUUUCUUAUGUGAAGGCUCGACGUAUGGUCGAGAAGGGAUGUCUAGCGUAUUUAGCCUAUAUUUGUGAUUCAAGUGCAGAGGUUCUUUCCAUGGAUUCAGUACCAGUUGUGUGUGAGUUUUCAGAGGUGUUUCCUGCAGAUCUGUCUGGGAUGCCACUCGACAAAGAUAUUGACUUCUGUAUUGAUUUAGCUCCAGGCACUCAGCCCAUUCCAUUUCACCACACUGUAUGACCCCGCCGGAGUUGAAGGAAUUAAAGGAGCAGUUGCAAGAUUUGCUUGAUAAGGGAUUCAUUAGACCUAGUGUCUUGCUCCGGGGUGCGCAUGUGUUGUUCGUGAGGAAGAAAGAUGGGUCGAUGAGGAUGUGGAUAGACUAUCGGUAGUUGAACAAACUCACUAUCAAGAAUAAGUAUCCAUUGUCGAGGAUUGAUGACUUAUUUGAUCAACUUCAAGGUGCCAAAGUAUUUUCAAAGAUUGACUUGAGGUCUGGCUACCAUUAGUUGAAGAUUAGGGCAUCAGAUGUCCAUAAGACGACUUUUUGGACUCAGUAUACACAUUAUGAGUUCUUAGUGAUGUCAUUUAGGUUGACAAAUUCCCCAACAACACUUAUGGAUUUGAUGAACCGGGUAUUUAAGCCCUAUUUGGAUUCUUUUAUGAUCGUAUUCAUUGAUGAUAGCUUGAUCUACUCCUGCAGUCAAGAGGGGCAUGAGCAGCAUCUUUGGAUUGUACUUCAAACCCUGAGAGAUAGUUAGUUAUAUGCCAAGUUUUCAAAGUGUGAGUUUUGUUUAGACUCGGCCACCUUUUUGGGGAAUAUUGUAUCGGUCGAGGGCAUAAAAGUGGAUCCUAAGAAGAUUGAGGCAGUUCAAAACUGGCCUAGACCUACUUCAGCUACAUAGAUUCGGAGUUUCCUGGGUUUGGCGGGUUAAUAUUGCCGGUUCAUAGAGGGGUUUUCAUCCAUAGUAGCCUCAUUGACUAGAUUGACCCAGAAGGGUAUUCCAUUCAGGUGGUCGGAUGAGUGUGAGUUGAGCUUUCAGAAUCUCAAGACUGCUAUAACUAUGACCCCAGUGUUGGUGUUGCCUACAGGUUCAGGAUCCUACACGUUGUAGUGUGAUGUUUUGCAUAUUGGGCUCGGUGCAGUAUUGACGAAGGAUAGUAGGGUGAUUGCAUACACGUCGCGGCAGUUGAAGGUUCAUGUCCUGAAUAUUUGGAGGCAUUAUCUCUACGGUGUAUAGUGUGAGGUGUUCCCUUGAGAGGUGUUCACUUCAGACCCUGAGAGAUAGUCAGUUAUGUGCCAAGUUUUCAAAGUGUGAGUUUUGGUUAGACUCGGCCGCCUUUUGGGGCAUAUUGUAUCGGUCGAGGGCAUAAAAGUGGAUCCUAAGAAGAUUGAGGCAGUUCAGAACUAGCCUAGACCCACUUCACCUACAGAGAUUCGAAGUUUCCUGGGUUUGGCGGGUUAAUAUUAUCGGUUUGUGGAGGAGUUUUCAUCCAUAACUGCCCCAUUGACUAGAUUGACCCAGAAGGGUGUUCCAUUCAGGUGGUGAGAUGAGUGUGAGUUGAGCUUUCAGAAGCUCGAGACUACUAUGACUACGGCCCCAGUGUUGGUGUUGCCUACAGGUUCAGGAUCCUACACGUUGUAUUGUGAUGUUUUGCAUAUUGGGCUCGGUGCAGUAUUGAUGAAGGAUGGCAGGGUGAUUGCAUAUGCGUCGCGGAAGUUGAAGGUUCAUGAGAAGAAUUACCCUAUUCAUGACCUAGAGUUGGCAGCUAUUGUUCAUGUACUGACGAUUUGGAGGCACUAUCUCUACAGCAUGUCGUGUGAGGUGUUCACGGAUCGUCGGAGACUACAAUAUUUGUUCAAGCAAAAGGAAGGGGCAGAGGAGGUGGUUGGAGCUGUUGACAGACUGUGAUAUUACCAUUUUGUAUCAUCCCGAGAAGGCCAAUAUAGUGGCUAAUGCCUUGAGUUGAAAGACUGUCAGUAUGGGUAGUCUUAUGUAUAUUCUAGUUGGUGAGAGACCGCUUGAAUCAGAUGUUCAAUCUUUGACCAAUCAAUUCGUGAGGAUGUUUCGGAGCCCAGUCGUGUUCUAGCUUGCACGGUCUCUCGAUCUUCUUUGUAUGAGCGCAUCAGAGAGCGUCAGUAUGAUGAAUCAUAUUUACUUGUCCUUAAGGACACGGUGCGACACGGUGGUGCCAAGAAGGUUACUGUUGGAAAUGAUGGGGUGUUGCGGAUGAAGGGUCGGAUAUGUGUACCCAAUGUGGAUGGGCUUCGUGAAUUGAUUCUUGCGGAGGCCCAUAGUCCCUGGUAUUCCAUUCAUCCGGGUGCCACCAAGAUGUAUCAGAACUUGCGAUAGGAUUAUUGGUGGAGGAGAAUAAAUAAGGAUAUAAUUGCAUAUGUUGCUUGGUGUCUGAAUUGUCAGCAAGUAAAGUACGAGCAUCAGAGGCCUAUUGGUUUGCUUCAUAGGUUGGAGAUUCCUGAGUGGAAGUGGAAAUGUAUUACCAUGCAUUUUGUUGUUAGGCUCCCAUGGACUUAGAAGAAGUUGAUACAGAGUGGGUCAUUGUGGACAGGUUGACCAAGUCAACACAUUUUAUUCCAUUGGCAGUCACCUAUUCUUCAGAGCGGUUAGCUGAGAUCUAUAUCCGCGAGAUCGUUCGUCUUUAUGGUGUGACCGUGUCCAUCAUUUCUGACCGAGGUACGCAGUUCACCUUGCACUUCUGGAGGGUCGUACAUUGUGAGUUAGGCACACGAGUUGAGUUGAAUAUAUCAUUUCACCCCUAGACGGAUGGACAGUCCGAGCGCACCAUUCAGAUAUUGGAGGAUAUGUUUCGUGCUUGCGUUAUGGAUUUUGGAGGUUCUUGGGAUCAGUUCUUUCCGCUUGUGGAGUUUGCCUACAAUAACAACUACCAGUCAAGUAUUCAGAUGGCUCCCUAUGAGGCAUUGUACGGGAGGCGGUGUUGUUCUCCAGUUGGUUGGUCUUAGCCGGAAGAGGCUUGGUUGUUGGGUACCGAUUUGGUUCAGGAUGUCUUGGAAAAGGUCAAGAUGAUUCAGGAUCGACUUCGCAUAGCUUAGUCUAGGCAGAAGAUUUAUGCCAAUCUGAGAGUUCGUGAUGUUGCAUUCAUGGUUGGGGAGAGGGUAUUGCUCCGGGUUUCACCCAUGAAAGGUGUGAUGAGGUUCGGAAAAAAUGGCAAGUUGAGCCCUAGGUUUAUUGGACCCUUUGAGAUUCUUGAUAGAGUGGGUGAGGUGGCCUAUAGACUAGAAUUACCACCUAGUUUACCAGAAGUCCAUCCGGUGUUCAAUGUGUCCAUGCUCCGAAAAUAUCACGGUGAUCCGUCCCAUAUGUUAGAUUUGAGCUCAGUCCAAUUGGAUAAGGAUUUGACUUAUGAGGAGGAGCCGGUGUCCAUUCUUACCCGGCAGGUCCGGAAGUUGAAGCCUAAUAGUUAUCCUUCAGUUAGAGUAUAGUGGAGAGGUCAUCCAAUUGAGGCAGCCACCUGGGAGUCCGAAUUCGACAUGCAGAGUAGAUAUCCACAUCUUUUCACCAGUCUAGGUACCUUUCUAUGUCCGUUCGAGUUCGAACGUUUAUGUUUAGAGGUGGAUAAUGUGAUGACCCGAUAGGUCACUUUGAGUUUUAUCCUUAUUUCUAUAUUUUGAGACCUCAAAUAGCUUUGUUUAUCCUUCCUCGAUUUGUGCGCUCAUCCGUGUCUUUUUUCGGAAAUGUUUUAGGUGAAAAAUUUAAGGAAAUGUGAAUUUUAACCAUAAAAAUAAUUUGAGUUGACUACGCUUAAUAUUUUGAGUAAACGGACCCGGAUCAAUGUUCUGAUGGUCCUGGUGGGUCCAUAUUAUUAUUUUGGACUUAGGCGUAUACCCGAAAUCGAAUUCGGAAGUCCCUAACUUGAUUUAAUAUGAUUUGUUGAAAACUAGUAAUUUGAAGGUUUAAAGAAUUUUCAAGUUUGAAUGUAGGUAGAUUUAAUUGCUACCGGGUUUGGAUUUUGGUUUUCGGAACUUGAAAAAGGUUUAUUUCAACAUUUGUGGCUUAUCUGCAAAAUUUAGUCCAAAACGGAGUUGAUUUGACGUGAUUCGGACGUCCGGAUGUAAAUUUGCAUGUUCUUGAGUCCUUAGAAAAUUUCUUACAUUUUGAUGUUUGAUUUGUAGUUCUAGGUGUUAUUUUGGUACUUUGAUCGCGCGAAAGAGUUCGUAUGAUAUUUUUAGACUUGUGUUGGUGUUUGGUUUGGAGCCCCGAGAGCUCGGGUGAGUUUUGGUGUUGCUGGUGUGAUCUUGUAUGCAGGUCCCACAAAUGCAAGAUUAUAGGUCGCAUUUGCAACGAAUGGCCAAGUCUGUUAUGAUCGCUUUUGCGAACAUUUUAUUCACAAUUGUGAAUACGGCAUGGGAAUAGCAAAGAUCACAUUUGCGAUCAUUUGAUCGCUUUUGCGAAGUUCCAAUGUUCGCAUUUGCUAACUAGUCGUCGCAAUUGCAAUGACAACAGAGAUGAGGGGAGUUCGUUUUUGCAAUGAUUUCUUUGCAUUUGCGAUAUUUGCAACUCGAUAAAAAGCUGAGGGAUGGAAUUUUUGCCUCAUUUUCAUAUUUUGGAACCCGAGGCUCAGUAGGAUGUGAUUUUGAAGAGGGAAUUUCAUCUACAAACUUUGGGUAAGUGAUUCUAAUCCAUUUCUAAUCCUAUUUCUUCAAUUUAUCUUCGAUUUUAACAUCAAAAUCAAGUGAAUCAAAGUUAAAAUUUGUGGAUCCUUGUCAAGUUUUUGAAAAAUAAGAAAUCGAGUUUUGAGAGUCAAUUUGGACUCGAAUUUUAAAACUAAUCACAUAUAUGAACUCGUGGGGUCAUGGGUCCACCGGAUUGACUUUUGCUGACUUUUUGCGAAAAGAGUAAAGAUCUUAGCUUUAUCUAUUGUAAUUGAUUUCCCUAGCAUUGUUUGAUGAUAUUAAGUCGAUUUUGGUUAGAUUCGAUUGGUUUGGAGGUGAAUUUUAGAGGAAAGCCCCCGGUUGAGCUUUGAUUUGGUUGUGGAGCGAGAUAAGUAUUGGGUCUAACCUUGAUUUGAAGGAAUUAGGAACCCUUGAACUAUAUGUUACGUGAAUUACGUGUGUAACGACGUAUAUGCGAGGUGACGGGUGAUUGUUUCCAUGACUUUCUCGUAUUUCAUGAAUUAUCUCACUACUUGGCUUAACUGUUACAUGGUUUAAUUGAUUUCUAUGCCAUAAUUUGUUACUUGUCAUCAAUUAUUCUUGUAUUAAAUUAUUUGUUCCUUCCAUGAUUUCGUGAUUAAUUGCUACUUGCCUUAAUUGUCUUACUUUCACACCUUAAUUGUCACGUACUUGACUUGUUUUAUUGCUUUUGUAUGAUUUUUAGCAUUCUUUUGAUUAGUACGUAAUUCUUUAUUGCUUGCUUUCAUAUUCCUUAAUUGUAGAGAUUCUUGUAAAAUGAACUAUUGGAUUGAUUACGUUUAUUGAGAAUAUUUAUGGAUCGGGUUGCAUGCCGCUACAGUUGUGAUAUGGUGGAAUAAGGGAGGAUUUUGACAUUGAUUAUAAUGAUAUGGUGGGAUCGGGUUGCGUGCCGCAACGGUUGUAUACGUAAUACUUGUUAUUGAUAAAUUACGACAUGGUGAAAUAAGGAAGGAUUAUGACAUUGAUUAUGAUGAUAUGGUGGGAUCGGGUUGCACGCCGCAACGAAUUUUAUAUAUGAUUCUUGAUAUUGAUAAAUGAUAUUAUGGUGGAAUAAAGAAGGAUUGUGUGAGUACGGUGGGAUCGGGUUGCGUGCUCUAACAGAUAGUGUAUGUUAUGCUCAUUGUGUUAUUGUGUUAGCUUUCAGCCUUUUUAUAUGAUAUUUUGAGGUAUGAUAUUUUGGAUUCUCUAGUUGCGGGGAUUGAGCUCAUUUUAAUAAAUUAACUACUUUACCGUCAUUUCUUGUAUCCUUCUCUAUAAUUAUUAUUAUUACUGUGUACACGUUAUUUUAAGUGACCCCCUUAGCCUCGUCAAUAUUUCGUCGAGGUUAGACUCGGCACUUACAAAGUACAUAGGGUCGGUUGUACUCAUACUACACUCUGUACUUUUUGUGCAGAUUUUAGAAUUUGUCCUAGCGGCGUUCGGUAGAUUCCUCGGAUCCGGUGCUUGACGGAGACUUGAGGUGCAGCUGCACAACAUUCGCUGCCCUGUAGUCCCCUCCUACAUUACCCUUGCUAUUUAUUUAUUAUAGUACUCCAGAUGCUCGUAUAUUCGUGACACCAGUUCUGGGAUUUGUAUUUGGAUAUAGCCGUUUAUCAUAUUUAUCUACUUUAUUUUAGUUUAUUUAGCUUAUUAGUUUUCAUUUGAUUUGCAUUAUUAUAAAUGGUUAAUAACUACAUCUAACGUUAGCUUGCCUAACAAGUNNNNNNNNNNNNNNNNNNNNNNNNNAAGAUCACAACUGUUUAUCAAACAUUUGAUGAAUAUCAAAAGUGUUAACAUCUGACAAAUUUAAAAUUCCAAAAUUGCUCAAUAAUACGUUUAAGAGGACUAUUUUAAACUUAUCUUUUAAAGACCAUUACUUUUUCUCAUUCAAACCUAUCACUGGUCAAACCUCAUAAUUCCUAUUCAAAUAACGUGUUUGCUUAUAGUCAGUUUGGCCAAGCUUCUCAAUAGAUCAAAAGUGCUUUUUUUUCCCCUUAAAAGCACUUUUUAUUCCUAACUUGAGGUGUUUGGCCAAGCGUUUUUGGGGAAAAAGUGCUUUUGGGAAGAAGAAGAAGCAGUUUCUGAGAAGCAGAAAAAAGUAGUUUCUUCCAAAAAGCAGAAGCAGAAGCAAUUUUGAUUUUUCUUCUUUUCAAAAAUAUCCUUAACAAAAUAUAAUAUAUAGCAAAAUAACCGUUAAACCUAAUACUUAGGAUAUUAAUAUAUAAAUAUUUCUCAUUAUAUUUAGGAUAGCUUUCUAAUAUAUAGUGACAUUAGGGGUGAACGCUUUUAUAUUUGUUGAAUUAUAUUUAAUAUAUUUAACUUAUAUUAAAAGAAUUAAGUACUUUUAAAUUUUAUUUUCAUAUUUUACAUAAAUAAAAUGAAAAGAUUUAAUUAUUGCUUGUAAAAAUAAAUUUUUUGUAAUGACCCGGCCAGUCGUUUCGAGAAUUUAAGUCCCGUCAGGCGGCAUAAGGCCCUGAGAUGCUUCAUAUUGUGUGUAUUGACUUGCGUGCGUGGUUGAAUUCGGUUACCGGAUGUCUCAGAGUGAUUUGGGACACUUAGUCCCUAAAAGGGAAGCUUAGGCCUUAGGAUUUCGACCGUAAUCGAAACUAUGUGAAGACGACUCCGGAAUAGAGUUCUGUCGAUUCCAUUAGCUUCGUUGGGUGAUUUUGGACUUAGGAACGUGUCCGGACUGUAAAUCCGAGGUCUGUAGCCGGAAGUGAACUUUUUGAUAUCGGGGUCGGAAUGCGAUUCCGAGAGUUGGAACAGCUCCAUUAUGUUAUUUGGGACUUGCCUGCAAAAUUUGACAUCAUUCCGGGUUGAUUUGAUAGGUUUCGGUACGGGUUUUAAAAGUUGGAAGAUUUGAAAAUUUAUAAGUUCGAUUCAUGGUGCGAUUCGUAGUUUCGACGUUGUUUGAUGUGAUUUGAGACCUCGAGCGAGUCCGUAUUAGGGUAUGAAACUUGUUGGUAUGCUUGGACGAGGUUCCGGGGGCCUCGGGUGUGUUUCGGACGAGUUUCAGAUGUUUUUCAUGGUUUUGAACAUGUCUGGUUCUGGUGUUCUCGCACCUGCGACGCUUGGAGCGCAGGUGCGGCUCCGCUUCUGCGAUCCUUGAGGCCUGGGAGCUUGCUCGCUUCUGCGGAAGCUUGCAUGCAGGUGCGAAGGCCGCUUCUGCAUUCCCCCCUUUCGCUUCUGCGGUGACGCUGGUGCGGUUGUAAAUCCGCAGAUGCGGUUCUAGGCCUGGCCAGAUGAGUUCGCAGAUGCAGACUCCUUCUCGCAAAUGCGAGUGCGCAGGUGCGUCUCCUAGUCCACAGAUGCGGAAAUCCUGGUAGAAACAUAAAGUCGAGGGUUUGGCCAUUUUCUUCAUAUUUUGAGUUUUAGACUUCGGUUUUGGGAGCUUCCUUAUGGGUUUUUCAAGAAAAUCGAUUGGGUAAGUGUUCUUCAACUAGAAUUUAUUUAUUUCCAUGAUUCUAUCUUUAUUUUUUAUCAUUUAACUUUUGUUUUGAGUUGAGGAAAAGGGUGGUUUUUGAACAAAAUUUUCAAAAUGAAAAAUCACUGUUGUUACAUUAUAUGGUUAUGAGACUAGAGCAGAUCUUUUGCUACUUGAUAUGACUGGUUUUGAGAUUAUCCUGGGCAUGGACUGGCUAUCCCCAUAUCAUGUCGUCCUAAAUAGCCAUGCUAAGACGAUUACUUUGGCAAUCCCGGAAUUUCCUAGGUUGAAGUGGAAGGGUUUGUCUGUCAGCAGCAUCUAAUCAGGUUAUUUCCUUUCUAAAAACUCAACAUAUGGUCGAGAAGGGUUGUUUGACUUAUCUAGCCUAUGUUCGGGAUACUACUGCGAAAACUCCGACUAUUGAUUCAGUACCUGUGGUUCAGGAGUUCUCCGAUGUAUUUCCUUCAAAUCUUCCAGGCAUGCCACCAGAUCGCAAUAUUGAUUUUUGUAUUGACUUGGCUCCAGAUACCCAGCCUAUAUCUAUCCCACCGUAUCGCAUGGCUCCGAAAGAAUUUAAGGAAUUGAAAGAACAGCUUGAGGAGUUACUAGCCAAAGGGUUUGUCAGACCGAGUGUAUCGCCUUAGGAAGCACCGGUAUUAUUCGUGAAAAAAAAGGAUGGAACGAUGCAAAUGUGUAUUGAUUAUCGUCAAUUGAACAAAGUCACUAUUAAGAACAAGUAAUCGUUGUCGCGUAUUGAUGAUCGAUUUGACCAGUUGCAGGUUUCUAGGGUGUUUUCUAAUAUCGACUUAAGAUCGGGGUACCAUCAGUUGAAGAUUCGGGAUUCGGAUGUUCCGAAAACUACUUUCCGAACUAGAUACGAUCAUCAUGAAUUUUUGGUGAUGUCUUUCGGGUUAACUAACGCCCCGGCGGCGUUUAUGGAUUUGAUGAACAAGGUAUUCAGGCCAUACAUUGAUUAGUUUGUCAUUGUCUUCAUUGAUGAUAUUUCAUUUUACUUGUGCAGUAAGGAAGAACACGAGUAGCAUAUGAGAGUGGUGCUUCAGACACUGCGUGAACAAAAGCUAUAUGCUACGUUCUCCAACUGUGAGUUUUCCCUAAAUUCUAUAGCUUUCUUGGGGCAUAUUGUAUCGGGCGAGGGCAUUAAAGUUGAUCCCAAAAAGAUCGAGGCAAUUCAGAAUUGGCAUCGUCCCACUUCGGCGACUGAGAUCAGGAGUUUCCUAGGCUUAGCAGGUUAUUAUCGUCGGUUCGUGGAGGGCUUUUCAUCUAUUGCAACACCUUUGACCAAAUUAACCUAGAAGGAUGCUCCGUUCCGAUGGUCCGAUGAUUAUGAGGUGAGCUUUUAGAAGCUCAAGACAGCAUUCACUACAACACUAGUGUUAGUGUUGCCUUCCAGUUCGGGGAUGUAUACAGUGUAUUGUGACACUUCACGCGCUGGUUUGGGUUAUGUAUUAAUGCAUAAGGGGCGAGUUAUUGCAUAUGCUUCACGUCACCUGAAACCCUACAAGAAGAAUUACCCGGUACAUGAUUUAGAUUUAGCUACGAUUGUUCACGCUCUUAAGAUUUGGAGGCAUUAUCUUUAUGGGGUGUCUUGUAAAGUUUACACUGAUCAUCAUAGUUUACAAUAUUUGUUCAAGCAUAAGGACCUAAUUUUGAGCUAGCGCAGAUGGCUUGAGUUACUAAAAGAUUAUGAUAUUACUAUCAUGUAUCAUUUGGGCAAAGAAAAUGUAGUUGGAGACGCCUUGAGUAGAAAGGCGGAGAGUAUGGGUAGUUUGGCUUUCAUUUUAGCAGAGGCGAGGCCAUUAGCUUUGGAUAUUCAGUCCUUGGCUAAUAGACUUGUGAGGGUAGAUAUUUCAGAGCCCAGCCGAGUUCUUGCGUGUGUUGUGGCCCAGUCUUCACUAUUUGAGCAGAUCAAGGCUCGCCAAUAUGAUUAUCCACACUUAAUGGUUCUUCGAUAAACGGUACUACGGGGUGGUGCCAAGGAAGUUACUAUUGGCGCGGAUGGUGUUCUGCAACUCCAAGAUCGUUUAUGUGUUCCUAAUGUGGAUGGACUGAGGAAAAGGAUUUUAGAGGAGGCACACAGUUCUCGGUAUUCUAUUCAUCCAGGUGCUACGAAUAUGUAUCGUGACUUGAGGCAGCAUUAUUGGUGGCGGAGGAUGAAAAAGGACAUAGUUGAGUAUGUAUCUAGGUGUCUAAAUUGCCAGGAAGUUAAAUAUGAGCACCAUAGUCAAGGUGGCCUACUUCAGCAGAUGACUACCCUAGUGGAAAUGGGAACGCAUUAUUAUGAACUUUGUAGUUGGGUUGCCGCGGACCUUGCAGAAGUUUGAAGCAGUUUGGGUCAUUAUCGACAGGUUGACCAAGUCGGCACACUUUAUUCCGGUUAUGACUAUGUAUACAUUGGAGAGGUUGGCCCAGAUUUAUAUUUAGGAGAUAGUUCGGUUUCACGGUGUGCUAAUUUCUAUAAUAUCAUAUAGAGGCCUUUAGUUUACUUCACAUUUCUGGAGAUCAGUACAGAGUGAAUUGGGGUCCUUUCAUCCGCAAACCGACAGGCAGUCGGAGCGGACAGUUCAAAUUUUGGAGGAUAUGCUCAGGGCAUGUGUGAUUGACUUUGGAGGUCAGUGAGAUCGUUUCUUACCUUUGGCCGAGUUUGCUUAUAACAACAGUUAACAGUCCAGCAUCGAGAUGGUUCCAUUUGAGGCUUUAUAUGGUCGACGAUGUCGUUCGCCCAUCGGAUGGUUUGAGCCUGGUGAGGCUAAGUUACAUGGUACUGAUUUGGUAAAGGAUGCCUUGGAAAAGGUAAAAUUAAUUCAUGAGCGACUUCCAGCACAGUCCAGUCAUAAAAGUUACGCGAAUCAGAAAGCGCGUGAUUUAUCAUUUAUGGUGGGUGAAAAAUUUCUCUUGAAGAUUUCGUCGAUGAAUGGAAUCAUGAGAUUUGGAAAGAAGGGCAAGUUGAGCCCAAGGUUUAUAGGACCAUUUGAGGUGUUGAGACGAGUUGGGGAGGUUGCUUAAGAACUUGAUUUGCCUCCCAGUCUAUCAGGAGUUCAUCCGGUUUUCCAUGUAUCUAUUCUCCGGAAGUAUCAUGUCGACCUAUCGCAUGUGUUAGACUUCAGCACGGUUCAACUAGAUAAGAGCUUGGGUUAUGAAGAGGAGACAAUUGCCAUUAUUGAUAAACAGGUUCGCCAGUUGAGGUCCAAGAAGAUUACUGCAGUAAAGUCCAGUGGAGGGGGCCAACCAGUCGAGGAAGAGACUUGGGCGGCCGAGGAGGACAUGUGGAUCAGAUAUCCACACUUAUUCAGCACUCCAAGUAAAAUUCUAAACCCGUUGGAGGAUGAACNNNNNNNNNNNNNNNNNNNNNNNNNCGUUUGUGCUUUUAUUAAUUUAUGACUCGCGGAGAUGGUUGGUUCGGGAUUCGGAAGUGUUCGGGUUGAAAUCGGAACACUUGAUUCCUUAGUUUGGCUUUAAAGGCCCAAGUUUGACUUCGGCCAAUACUUUGAGAAAACGACCCCAGAAUUAAGAUUUGACAGUUCUAAUAGGUUCGUAUGAUGAUUUUUCACUUGAGCAUAUGUUCGAAUCGGGUUUUGGACAACCCGGGAGCGCUUCGACGCUUAAUAGUGAAAAAUCAUAUAUUUAAAGGUUUAAGGUUCUUUAAAUUAGGUUUGGAGUAAUUGAAUUCUGUUUGGAAUUCCGAGCCUGGAAAUAGUCCCGUAUGGUGAUUUAAAACUUGCACGCAAAAUUUGGUGUCAUUCCGGGUAGUAUAAGUAUGAUUCGGCGUAUUCAGAGGAAUUUAGAAAUUUGAAGUUCAUAAAUUGAUCCAAUUCAGUUUUGGGGUGGGAUUCUUAGUUUCGUUGUUGAUUUACGUGUUUUGAGAGUUCGAGCAAGUCCGUGUUAUGUUUUCAGACUUGUUGGCGCAUUUGGACAGGGUUCCUAGGGGCUCGGGUGAGUUUUGAACCAUCCGGAGCUAAGUUGGAAAAACCAGAAUUUCCAGUUCUGGUUUCCUUCUUCGCGAACGCGGAAGGACCCUCGCGUUCGCGAAGAAGGAAAUGUGGGAACUAGGCAAUUUUCCAUCGCGUUCGCAUGGAGAGUGAAGCGUUCGCGAAGCCCAGGAUUUUUGGCCUACACAUUCGCGAAAGUCUACUCGCGUUCGUGAAGGAGGACUGGGGCCGGAGUGAAAUUACCCUACGCGUUCGCGAAGGAGCUCACGCGUUCGCAAAGAGUAGGCUAGUAAGCCUUCGCGUUCGCGAAGGGUAAAAUUUUAAGGCAGUGAAUUUUUCCUUCGCGAACGCGAGGCACUGACCGCGUUCGCGAAGAAGGGGUCAGCAGUGCUAGGCAGGAUGUCUUAAAAACGGGAUUUCAUCAUUUUUAACCCCAUUUCUUCCAUUCUUGGGCGAUUUUAAAGCUUUUUGAGAGAGGAUUUCAACUAGCAGCUUGAAGGUAAGUUAAUUCUACUCACUUUGAGUUAAAUAUAUAGAUUAUGGGUAGAUUAUAACCUGUAAAUCUUGGGAAUCAAUGGUUUAGAUGAAAAACCUAGGUUUUUACAAAAAUGAGAUUUUAACCACGAAAAUGGUUAUGGAAUUGGAUGAAAAUUAUAUAUUUGAGUUCUUGAGAUUAUGGGUAAUGAUUUCCUCCAAAAAUUACCGGAAUACGGGAAUGUGGGCCCGGGGUGAAUUUUAGGAAUUUUACCAAUUUAGGCUGGGUAAUUAAUUUAAUAGCCUAAUUUCGAAUUAUUGGGCAUGUAUUAAUUAUUUUAUAUAACAUUUGGAUAGUUUUGGAUUUUUCGGCACCGAAUUGGGAUUUUUUCACGACAUCGUGAUCGAAGUGGGCUUUGAGACAAGGUAAGUCUCUUGCCUAACCUUAUAAGAGGGAAUUUACCCCAUAGGUGAUUUAUAUUAAUAAUUGCUGCUAAUUGUGGGGGCUACAUACGCACGAGGUGACGAGAGUCUGUGCGUAGCUACUAAUUAUGUUAAUGUCCGGGUAGUUUAGGACUCAAAUCAUGAAUUACUUGUGAUAAUUGCUCCUUUUAUUUAAUUAAGUUGCUGGAAUUUUAUUGCAAAUUGUUUGAGAAAAUAGUAAAAGAUCGAAACUUCAUAUACUCGAAAUUUUGUGUAAAUUAUUGAAUUGUUAAUAGAUAUUGAACAUCCUACGUGUUAAUAUUAUAAUAAAUUCUCAUUCCGGAGGUUCAUAAGAAAAUGUCCUCCUUUCUUGUGGAGCGGGCCAAACGCUUCGGAAGUAUAGAUGCAUCUAUGGAUCGCGCCGCACGUCCCUCGGCAGUGUACACGAUACUCUGGAUCGGGCCGUAUGUUCUCGGCCGAAUCCGUGCCUAAUAAUAAUAAUUACACGAUAUCUUGAUACUAUGGAAUGGAAUUAAUUAUUUCUGCUUGUUUAGAAACUUAUUGUUGUUCAUCUAAAAAUCAUGUUUAAUUAAAUAUUUCUAUCGUAAUAUUAUUGACCCAUAGUGAGUGUCAAAAUCGACCUCUCAUCACUACUUCUUCGAGAUUAAGCUUGAUACUUACUAGGUACAUGUUGUUUACGUACUCAUGCUAUGCUUGCUAUACUUUUUGUGCAGGACCUGAGACAGGUACUAUCGGAGGACCUAUCGAAGCGCACCCACGUUAUCCAGAGGCUUAGUGGUGAGCUUCCUUUCUGAGCCGUUCUGCAACAACUAGUGCCUCUUCUUGUAUUUGUAUUCUGUCUAUUUUAUUUCAGACAGUAUUUAAAAUUUUUAAAAUCUACUAGAUGCUCAUAUACGCGAGACACCAGGUCUUGGCACUCACUAGUAGAAUUUUUGGAUUUAAUUAUUUUACUUGGGUUUUAAUUUAUCUUAUUUCUCACAUUGUCUUAAUUUUUGCAAGUACUCCAAGUUUUAUUACUCAGAUACUUUUUACAGAAAUGAAUAUAUGUUUAAAUUAUUAGUUGGCUUGCCUAGCUGGGAUGUUGAGCGCUAUCACGACCUAUAGGUGAAUUUGGGCCGUGACAGCCACCAGCUGUGCUUAUUGUGAUUCCAGGCCUUCAAGAGGCUUUGGCUCAGAUUUUGACUGUGUGCACUAGCCACGCUCAGGCAGUUUCUACUCAGACCGCGCCAGCCACUUCUUAGGCUGGGUGAGGUACUCAGACUCCCGCCGCCCGUACUCCAGAGCAUGUGAUGCAGGGACUUUAGACACCGGGGUAUUGCCAGCCCAGCCGGUUGCAGUUGCUCAGGCCUAGUCAGGUCCCGUUAUGAGUGAGGAUGAAUAGAAGGGACUUGAGAGGUUUGGGAGACUUCAGCCUCCAUCAUUCAGUGGGGCUUAGUCAGAUGAUGCUCAGGACUUCUUGGAUAGGUGUCAGUUGAUUCUUCAUACCGCGGGUAUUCUCAUGACCAGUGAGGUCUCGUUUACUGCUUUUCAGUUUACUGAGGAUGCCUUCAUAUGGUGGGAGGCCUAUGAGAGGAGCAGGACAGUCGGUGCUACACCACUUUCAUGGCAUGAGUCUUCGUUCUCUUCUUAGAAACGUUUGUGCCACCGACCCGUAGGGAAUGGCUGCGCAACUAGUUCGAGCAGCUACGUCAGGAUAGCCUGUCUAUGACCCAGUAUGAGAUGAGAUUUUCAAAGUUGGCUCAUCACGCGGUUUGGGUUGUUCCCACUGAGAGGGAGAGGAUUAGGAAGUUCAAUAAUGGCCUCACCUAUUAGUUGUGUUUUGCUUUGACUCGGGAAAGUGUAUCUGGUGCUCGGUUCGACGAGGUGGUUGAUAUUGCUCGGCAGCUAGAGAUGGUCCGUAGUUAGGAGCAUGAGGAGAGGGAGGCCAAGAGGCCUCAUAGAUUGGGUGGUUUCAGCAGUGUUUCUUCUAGGGUUCAGUUCUACUAUAGCAGGGGUCUUCCUUAUAGGCACGCCUAGAUGGCUUAUCCAAUUCAUCGCCGUGCAUCAUCCUGCCAUGGUUCAUACAGUGCUCGUCAUGGUCAGUCAUCUCUCAGUGCCCUUCCAGCUCCUACUAUCAGUUAACUCGGUACUUGGGGCCCCCUUCAGUCCCCACCAUCACCAUCGUGGAGUUUCUUCGAGUGCAGGGAGUUUUAUCAUAUGUGGAGACAGUAUCCUCAUUGCCCGGGAGGUCCACUGUAGAAGAGGAACCAGGCUGCGACUUCAGCACCAGUUACUUCACCACCCGCCCAACCAGCUUGAGGUAGGGCCCAGGCAGCUAGAGGUCUCCCUAGAGGGGGAGGCCAAUCAGGUGGCGGUCAUGCCUGAUUCUAUGCUAUCCCUGCCAGGCCAAAUGUUAUUGAUUUAGAUGCAAUGAUCACAGUUAUUGUCUCAGUAUGCCACAGGGAUGCUUCUGUAUUAUUUGACCCUGGUUCCACUUAUUUGUAUCUAUCAGCAUAUUCUGCUCAUUAUCUGGAUAUACCCCAUGAGUUCUUAGUCUUAUCUAUUCAUGUAUCUACGCCAGUGGGCAAUAUUAUUGUUGUGGACCGUAUAUAUCAGUCAUGUGUAGUGACUAUUGGGUGAUUGGAGGUUAGAUUUGAUCUCUUAUUGCUUAGUAUGGUUGAUUUCGACAAGAUCUUAGGUAUGGAUUGGUUGUCUCCAUGUCAUGCUAUGCUGGAUUGUCACGCUAAGACCGUGACAUUGGCAAUGCCGGGUUUUCCAAGGAUCGGGUGGAGAGGUUCUCUAGAUUAUGUUCCCAACAGGGUGAUUUCUUAUUUAAAGGCCCGAUGGAUGGUUGGGAAGGGUUGUUUAUCUUAUUUUUCCUUUGUGAGGGAUGUUGGUGCUGAUACCUCUACUAUUGAUUCUGUUCCGGUAGUGCGAGACUUUCUGGAUGUAUUUCCUGCAGACCUGCCUGGCAUGCUGCCUGAUAGGGAUAUUGACUUUGGUAUUGACUUGGUUCGAGUACUCAUCCCAUUUAUAUUCCUCCAUAUCGUAAGGCACCGGCUGAGUUGAAGGAAUUGAAAGAGUAGCUUCAGGAACUUCUUAAUAAAGGGGUUUAUUAGGCUUAGUGUGUCUCCAUGGGGUGCAUCGGUUCUAUUUGUGAAGAAAAAGGAUAGUACUAUGUGGAUGUGCAUCGACUAUAAACAGUUGAACAAAGUUACAAUCAUGAACAAUUAUCUGUUACUGCGUAUUGAUGAUCUAUUUGACUAGCUUCAGAGAGUGAGGAUGUUCUCUUAGAUUGAUUUGAGGUAUGGGUAUCACCAGUUGAAGAUUCAGAACUUGGAUAUUCUGAAGACAGCAUUCAGGAUCCGUUAUGGUCAUUACGAGUUCCUUGUGAUGUCUUUUGGGCUGGCCAACNNNNNNNNNNNNNNNNNNNNAGCAUGCCCAACAUUUGAGGAUUAUGUUGCAUCAGUUGAGGGAGGAGAAGCUUUAUGCCAAGUUCUCCAAGUGUGAAUUUUGGAUUAGUUCGGUGGCGUUCUUGGGGCACGUGGUGUCCAGUGAGGGUAUUCAGGUGGAUCCAAAGGAGAUAGAGGCGGUUUAGAGUUGGCCCAGGUCGUCCUCAACUACUGAGAUUCGAAGCUUUCUCGGCUUGGCUGGUUAUUAUCGUCGCUUCGUGGAGGAUUUCUCGUCAGUUGCAUUGCCUUUGACCAAAAUGACUUAGAAGGGUGCUACUUUCAGGUAGUCGGAUGAGUGUGAGGAGAACUUUCAGAAUCUCAAGACAGCCUUGACCACAGCUCCAGGUCUAGUUUUGCCUUCAGCUUCAGGUUCUUAUACAGUGUAUUGUGAUGCUUCUCGGAUCGGUAUUGGGUAUUUCUUGAUGCAACAGGGUAGAGUGAUUGCUUAUGCUUCGCGUCAGUUGAAGCCUCAUGAGAAAAACUACCCCGUCCACGAUUUGGAGUUGGUUGUCAUCGUUCAUGCAUUGAAGAUUUGGAGGCAUUAUCUUUACCGUGUGUCUUAUGAGGUAUUUAUGGAUCAUAGGAGUCUCCAGCACUUGUUCAAAAAAAGGAUCUAAAUUUGAGGCAGCAAAGAUGGUUAGAGCUGCUAAAAGACUAUGAUAUUACUAUUCUGUAUCAUCCCGGGAAGGCCAAUGUGGUGGCCGAUGCCUUGAGUAGGAAGGCGAUGAGUAUGGGUAGCCUUGCAUUUAUUCCUAUUGGUGAGAGAUCGCUUGUAGUUAAUGUACAUGCCUUUGCCAACCAGUUCGUGAGAUUAGAUGUUUCGGAGCCCAGUCAGGUUCUAGCUUGUGUGGUAUCUCAUUCUUCCUUACAUGAUCGCAUUAGAGAACGCCAGCAUAAUGAUCCUCAUUUGCUUGUCCUUAAGGACACGGUUUAGCACGGUGAUGCCAAGGAUGUUACUAUCGGGGAUGAUAGGGGUGUUAAGGAUGCAGGGUCGGAGUUGUUUGCCCAAUUGAGAUGCGCUACGUGAGUUGAUUCUUGAGGAGGCCCACAGUUUACGGUAUUCCAUUCAUCCGGGUGCCGCGAAGAUGUACCAGGACUUAAGGCAGAACUAUUGGUGGAGGAGAUUGAAUAAGGAUAUAGUGAGGUAUGUAGAAUUUUCAGCAAGUGAAGUAUGAGCAUCAGAUACUGGGCAGAUUGCUUCAGAGGCUUGAUAUUCCAGAGUGGAAAUGGGAGCGAAUCACCCUGGAUUUUGUAGUUGGACUCCCACGGACUUCGGGGAAGUUUGAUGCUAUUUGGGUGAUUAUGGAUCGGCUGACCAAGUCCGCGCACUUCAUUCCAGUUGGGACUACUUAUUGUUCAGAGCAGUUGACUGAGAUUUACAUCUGCAAGAUUGUUCGCCUUCACGGUGUGCCGGUGUCCAUCAUUUCAGCACGCAGUUUACAUCGCAGUUAUGAAGGGCAGUGCAGCAUGAGUUGGGGACCCAGGUUGAGUUAAGUAUAACAUUUCACCCUCAGAUGGACGGACAGUCAGAACGCACUAUUCAAAUAUUGGAGGACAUGAUACAUGCUUGUGUCAUUGAUUUUGGGGGUUCUUGGGAUCAGUUUUGCCGCUCGUGGAGUUUGCCUACAACAACAGCUACCAGUCAAGCAUUCAGAUGGCUCCACAUGAGGCUUUAUAUAGGAGACGGUGUCAAUCUCCGGUGGGUUUGUUUAAGCCGGGUGAGGCUAGGCUAUUGUGUACUGACUUGGUUCAGGAUGCUUUGGAGAAUGUUAAAUUGAUUCAGGAUCGGCUUCGCACGGCGCAGUCUAGACAGAAGAGUUACACCGAUAGGAAGGUUCGUGAUGUUGCUUUUAUGGUUGGGGAGAAGGUACUGCUCAAGGUGUCACCCAUGAAGGGUGUUAUGAGGUUCGGGAAGAAGGGCAAGUUGAGCCCUCAGUAUAUUGGGCCGUUUGAGGUACUUCAGAGGAUUGGAGAGGUGAUUUACAAGCUUGCCUUACCACCUAGUUUGUUGAGUGUGCAUCCAGUAUUUCAUGUUUCUAUGUUCCGGAAUUAUGUCGGCAAUCUGUCUCAUGUUUUGGAUUUUAGCACGGUUCAGUUGGAUGGUGAAUUGACUUAUGAUGUGGAGCCGGUGGCCAUUUUGUAUCGGCAGGUUCAAAAGUUGAAGUCAAAAGACGUAGCUUCAGUGAAGGUGUGGUGGAGAGGUCAGCCAGUUGAGGAGGCUAAUUGGGAGACCGAGUGGGAUAUGCGGAACAGAUAUCCGCGCCUAUUUGAGACUCCAGGUACGUUUUAAGACCUGUUCGAGGACGAACGUUUAUUUAAGAGAAGGAGGAUGUAACGACUCGGCCAUGCAUUUUGGGAGUUGUAGCCUCGUUCACCCAUUUACUGUUCAGUUUAUGCUUUAUAGCUGCUAUGCGACUUUUCGGGGUAGUUGGUUCGAGUCUGGAGAGGGUUCGGAACGAAUUGAGAUACUUGGUCUCAAGGUUGAAAGCUUAAGUUGAAAUGGUUGACCGGAUGUUGACUUGUGUGUAAACGACUUCGGAAUAGAGUUUUGAUGGUUCCGUUAGCUCCAUUGGGUGAUUUAGGACUUAGGAGUGUGUCCGAAUUGUGAUUUAGAGGUCUAUAGUUGAAUUACGGUUUGAGUAGGUCUGUGGUGUCAUUUGUGACUUGUGUGCAAAAUUUGAGGUCAAUCGGACGUGAUUUGAUAGGUUUCAACAUUGUUUGUAGUAGUUGGAAUUCCUUAGUUUCAAUAGGCUUGAAUUGGUGUGCGCUUCAUGGUUUUAGCAUUAUUUGAUGUGAUUUGAAGGCUCGAAUAAGUUCGUGUUGUGUUUUAGAACUUUUUGAUAUACUUAGUUGAGGUCCCGGGGGCCUCAGGUGGAGUUCGGAUGAAUUUCGGAUCAAGUUUGGGGUUAAAUGGGUAAUGUAGCUGAAGCCUUCUGGUGUAAUCGCACCUGCGGAGCAUUGGUCGCAGGUGUGAACUCGCAAGUGCGGGCUGGGAAGCACAAAAGCGACCUAGGACGGAGGUGUGCAGUGGUCGGAGGUGCGAGGCAAUUUUCGCACCUGUGUGGUUGCAGAUGCGGCGUGAUGGGCGCAGAAGCGGAGUUGGCCAGUGGGGGAGUUUGCGCAGGUGCAGUGGAAAUUUCGCACCUACGAUUGCGCAGAUGCGGAGGCAGGACCGCAAAAGCAAAAGGGAGCCUUAGGGCAUGUACGUUGAAGCUAAGGAGUUUCCACAAAAGAGGAACCGUAGGUGCGGUUAAGUUUCCGUAGCAGCGAAAAGACUGGACAGAACUUUAAAAUAAGGGUUUCGUGGUUUUCUUCAUUUUGAACAUGCCAAGCUCGGGAUUUGGUGAUUUUUGAGGGGUUUCUUAAGGUUAGUCACUUGUGGUUAAAUUUGUUCAAUAAUUAUGUUUUCCAAUUGAAUUCCCCACCUACAUUGUGUGGUUUUGAGGUGUAAUUUGGGAGUUUGAGGCUAGAAAUUUGGAGGGUUUAAAUUGGGGGUUUGGGUGUCGAUUUGGUGUUGGAUUUUGGUAAAGUUGGUAUGGUUGGACUCGGGGUUGAAUGGGCUUCCGGAUUUUGUGACUUUUAUUGGAUUCCGAGACGUGGGCCCAGGGGCCAGCUUUUGAGUCGACUUUUUGACUUUUGAUUAAUAACUUAGUAUAUUCUUAUGGGAUUGAUUCCUUUAGCUCGUGUUGAUUGUAUCGAACUGUUUGUGGCAAGAUUCGAGUCAUUUGGAGGACGAUUCGUGAGGCUAGGGCGUGUUGGAGUAGGGAUUUGUACGGCUUAAGGUAAGUAACAGUUCUAAACUUGGUUCUAAGGGUAUGAAACCCCAAAUUACGUGUCAAGUAAUUGGUAUUGAGGUGACGCACUUGCUAGGUGACGGGCGUGUGGGCGUGCAUAAUAGUAAUUGUGACUUAGGCAAUUCCAUGGAAUUGUAUAGUUGAAUAAUCUGUUGUUAUCCGUAUAUUCUCCAUGUGUUAUAGAAAUGGAACUGCAAAUCGUGUUAGAAAUCAUGCUUAGGCUAUGUGUUGAUACUGUAGGGACCCACAGAGGUCGUGUUACAUGUUGAAUUAUCUACUAAAUUGCCACUUUGUACUCAUUCACAGUUUUUACUUGCAUAUUAUAUCUCAGUCUCUGUUGUUCUUUAUUGAUACAUUAUAUCAUCGCUGGUUGGGCUGAUUAUCAUGAUUAUUGAGAGAUCGAGAGACUGGAGAGAUUGAUGACUGAGUGAGGCCGAGGGCCUGAUUGUGUGGAUAUUUAUUGGGAUCGGGUUGCAUGCCGCAACAUGUUUUAUUGAUCAAUACUACGAUUGGCUUAUUAUAGCGCUUGGGCUGAAGGAUGCCCUACGGAGUCUACACAUCAACGGUGAGCGCAGGUACUUACUGAGUGUGAGUGCGAGUGCGAGUGCUGAGCGCGAGUAUCGAGUGACUGGGAGAAUUGAGAGACUGUGAGGAAUGAGUGACAGUGAGGAUGGAGUGAAUGGGAGAACUGAGUGACUGUUAUUCUGAGAUUAUGCACUUGAUUUCAUUACUGUUGUACUUCAGCUGGCAUAUAUCACUGUCAUUUAGUCUCUGAGAGAUACUAUAUACUAUUUCGAUUUAACUUGACAUGAAUUUACUGUUUUGGCUUUAAAUGUCGAACUUGAAAGCAUGCCUAUUUUUCCUGUAUUAUAUUUUUUGUAAUUGAACUGUAUCCUUGAAGCUCGUCACUGCUUUCAGUCCAAUAGUUAAUCUUGUUACGUACUGAGUUGGUUGUAUUCACGAUACACCCUGCACUUUGUGUGCAGGUCCAGGUGUUUCCGGACACGGUGGGUGUUGAUUAUCUGAGCAUCUUGAACAUUCGAAGAUUUCAAGGUAGCUUCCCGGCACAGACUUUUACUCUCCUUCCCUAUCUUUCAGUUUUAUGUAUUUAGUUUCAUUUUUUUUCAUAGACAGUAUUACCAGACUUGUGUUGUAUAGACGCUCAUGUACUUGGUGACACCCUGGUUUUGGGAACUUCUGUAUUGAGUUCUGACUUUCUAUCCAGUUUAUGAGAGUUUUAAUUAUUUAAACCUGUGCUAUUUUAUUCUUCCUUUAAAAGUGUUGGAAAUGUUUUGAGGUGUCGGUUUGCCUAGUACCAUAUUAAGCGCCAUCACGAUAGGCUAAAUUUUGGGUCGUGACAUGUUCGGGACAAUUUCCUUUUGAGAUACCUAACGUAUUCUUCCAACACGUAAUAUUAUUAACAAAUUAUUAUUACAACCCAUGACCUUCAGCAGUAACGUAAUAAGCUCUCUCAUUAGGAGCUCACAGUACUUACUGUGCACUUUGCUGUCAAACUUAAACAAAAAGGAUGAAGUGAUCCAUUAUUUAAUCAGAAAUUGUAAAAACAUAAAUCAUUUUAAGCUAAUUAUAUUCAUCAACUAUGUGUCUGCUAUUUUGUUGGAUUUUUUUAAUCAAAGUAAUUAAGUAAAUGCAAGCUCAAUAUAAUCAAGCAUACAUAUAAAAAAUCCCCCCCCCCCCACCAAAAUCUAAAAAUUCACUCAAUUUAAAGCUUUAUGAAGAGUUUGGACAAUCCGAGUAUCAAACAUCAAAAUCAGAGAAGAUAAGAGAAAUUAAUGGGACGCCUUUUUCAAUACGAAAUUAUUUGUUGGGUCAGAGGAUUGGAGUUUUGCGCCGCCCAUGGGGUCAAAUGGGGGGACCAAAUUGGGCUCUAAAUUCCAAGUGCCGUCAUCCCAAAGUCAUAGGUGAAACUUGACACUAGCCUUCCAAGCAAUCGUGAAAAUAUUUAAACUAAUAAAAUUGUACUUAUCACCUAAUUUUAUUAUUAUUGAAACUUGAUCUUUAAUUGAAUUAAGUUCGAAAAUCACUUAGGGUCUGUUUGGAAAGCCACCCGAUAAUUGAAAUUAUUGUAAUUAUUUACCCGUAAAACGGUACAGUUAAAUUUAUACGUGAUUUCUAGACAAGUGAAUUAAUUCAAUCGUGAAAUAAUAAAAAAAAUGAAGAAGUAUACAAUACUUAGCCUUGAGAUGAAGAUUAAAUAGCAGAUACAGUAGUUGCGGGAGCAAGGCUUCCGGGCACAACAAUAACAAAAUCAAAAAGUAAGAAAGUAAAAUUAUAUAAAGUUUUGAAUGGUUCAUGCGAGGGUUCAUCUCCGUCAUAAACCAUAAGAGUUCGCUUUUGAAGGGAUCGCUCUCGUUGUUGUGACCAGACCCACUCCCCCAGCCUCAUCAAAGCCGACCUCACCCCUCGGGGUGUUGUUGUCGACCAUUUGCUUUGUUUGAUUAGCGGGAGCACCGGGAGGAACUGGACGUCGUCCAUUCGUGUUAUUGGAAGCACCCGACAACGCCUGCUUCAGUUCUGUCAUAACCUUAUUAUGUCGUGUGAGAUGACCUAAAAUGACCUCUUGUUGUUCCUGCAGGACCCUUACUGCUUCAACAACAUGCUCCUCUUCAGCAUCAUCGGGAGUCACCUCACGAACAUGUCGCGGGUACGGCCUGCCAUGGACCGACGUGGAAUCGUUUUUCCCAUUGCGGGUAUCACUGAUUGAAUCCUCGUGCUGAGGCUGGUCUCUUUGGGUCUCAAGAUUGUGUGUGUUGUUAAUACCAUUAUCUGCCAUUUUUGUGAUUUUUACUAAGAACGGAUAAACAAAACACGUUAGUAAAAAAGGCAAGGAUCAACUUAAUUACACGAUUGUCUAGGCCCCACGGUGGGAGUCAAACUGUUUACCCGUAAAACGGUACAAUUGAAUUUAUAUGUGGUUUCUAGACAAGUGAAUUAAUUCGAUCCUGAAAUAAUAAAAGAAUUGAAGAAAUAUGCAAUACUUAGCCUUGAGAUCAAGAUGAAAUAGCAGAAACAGUAGUUCCGGGAGCAAGGUUAUAAAGCUUUGAAUGGAUUAUAGCAUAAGUUUGCCAGAAUAUUCGUGUCCUUUGCAAUGAUAACAUAGCUCCCUAUUUAUAGUUGCACCUAGGGACCAAGGUCCUAGGAUCAUACCCUUCUUUAAUGUCAAUUAUAAGGGUCAUUGAAGAAUGUGUAACGGUGAGCAUGAAUGAAAAUAUUUUUGUAACGGGUAGUGUAUUAAAUGUUGCAAAAUAUUCUCCAUUAAAUGAUACCGAGUGUGGCAGGAAUUUAUUGUAUCUUUAUGAGCAUCAUUAUUUCCGGUAAGAAAUGGAACAAUUGUCUUCGGUCUUAGCUAUCCUCUGUCAUCGGUUUCACGUGUCAUGCAAUUACUUAACAUAGCAUAUUUUAGCUAUACAGAUAGUCCCCCUGCUUUCCGGUGACAUAACUUUGUGUCAUCGGGAAGUUGGUAUAUACAUUCUUUUUGGCGAGAAUUUCUCUGACCCUCUCUGAAAAGCUUCUGAUAGUUGAUUAGACGCACGUCUCUCUGCAUUUAAUGCCUCGAACACGCGUCAUCCCAUGAUUCAGCGUAACCUUUGUCGGUUAUCGAGGUAAUUAUGGCCACGAGUUUAGCCGCCUAAACCUUUACUUAUACGCAUCUACUUCCUUAAUUUUACACUUCAUAACAUUUGGAAUUUUCUAAGACUUUCUUUACUCAACUCGUCUUCCGAAUUCAACCUUUCUUCAACUUCCUUCUUUGAGAGAAAAAACUCUUUUACUGAUAAGAAAUGGCCUCUUCUUCAAGAAAACCUAGUUCUUCAAAGAAUAAAGGCAAAGCUGACGAUAUUGCUCCCUCUACGGUGAGUACCAUUGUCCCAAUGAACCUAAUUAACACCAAAGAUUUCUAAGAGAAGUUUCCUUCUGCUAACUCUCCUACGUGGGCCGUUGGCAGAUACCCUUCUUCCAUCCGUCCUUCCAGUAUUCCUGUUGUGAAGGAAGAUUGUCGUUACCAGGAUUUAGACAUUAUCGCUCCUCAUCUGGCGGAGCAGUAACCCUACCCAAGGAGGAUUUUAUAUACUUUUACAUGUAUCCCUUUACUUUGGGAACGUUUUCUCUAAGUGGAGAGCUUGAUUCCGUUAUUGUGGAGUUCUAUCUACGCUAUCAGGUGUGUUUGGAUCAAGUAAGUCCCUCUGUGUGGAGGACUAUUGCUUGUUUUUGGUGCAUGUGCCAAGACACGGGAGAGGAACUAUCUUUAGCUCACGUGAUGAACCUCUAUUCCACCAGAAUCUUCCGUGGCGAAAUGAUAAAGUUCAGCAAACGCGGCCACCAUGCCCUGCUAUCUAGCAUGGAUGAUGACAACGAUUGUGGGAGGAUGGAAUGGUUCUUUGCAGUCGCCACCAGUGAUAUCAUUUCGGCAACGGCUUCAUCCUUUCCAGAAUCAUGGAAUCGCACUCGUAAGUUCUUUGUUUAAUAUUUCUUUCAUUAAAAGUUUUUGCAUAUCUUUAUCGACCCUCCUUUUUUUGCCUGUUUCAGCAACUCAAUGGGUUCCACCUAGGGUUGAAGGCUUGGACUAGUGGGUCCAGAAAAUCCUAGAUGUUACUAUGCCCGAAACCCGUAUGUGGAAAGAACUGGCCCUUAAAUACGGGUGGAAGCCUAAAAAUCAUGGUAACUUAGACUCAUCUCGUCUUUGUUUUUUGUGUGAGGAAAUUAAUUAAUCCUUUCUCUUUUUGCCAAAUUCAGGUAUACCCCCGGGCUCGGUUGUCGUCCUCGGGGAGGACAUUUUGGCUGAUCCUGCUGAUGUGGCGAGGCUGCUUCUGGAGACUCUUACUCGAACAGGUGUCUCUGGGCCUGCUUCGGGUGCAUGUAUUUCUUCUCGAAGUCCUAGGUCGUAGGACAAGCAACCAAAAAGAAAGAGCUCCUCCGUGGCUGGGGGAAAGAAUAAGAGGGCGAAGAAUGCCGCCCCCGAGUCAUCUCCGAAAGUUUGGGUGACAAACCCUCCGUCCGGGCCGGCCAUAGACAUCGUGAUGAUGGAGAAUCUAGUAAUGAGGGAGCUUCUCUACAUAGAAGACGAAGAUCCUCAUCAACUCAACAGAAUGCUCAACCUGUUGAGUUAGUUACACCAAAUGAGGACGAUGUCUCGGAACUUUGGGGGGGAGUUUGAGAGGGUAUAAAAUGCAAACCCUCGUUGCCCAAUCCCAGUCGCUGCGUCCGGUACCGUAAGGCUGAGUACUGGGCCCCUGCCGUCUUCGCUUGAUGAGUAACCAACAACUAGCACUACAUUUACCGUAGCUGCUUCUCACCCUUCAACGCCAUCAACUUCAUUACCCUCUUCACUCAUUCUUCCAUCAGCAACUACUACAUCAUCUCCACCGGCCGCAUCUGUUCGAGAAGAGGAUGUUCCUCUACCCCAGUCCCCAGUUCAUGGGAAUUUGUGGCAAAAUUAUGCCGCCUCCUUUGAAAAUCCUCAAAGGAGGAGGAGCGUUACACUCUCGGUCUCCACCGGUUUCAACCUGUUAUCCCAGCCGGUGGAACUUGCUAACUACCUGAAGUGUUUGGCUUCAGAAAAAGAUUGGAAAAAGAUACAUGCUCUCUUGGGAGAGUGCUUGUCGAAUAAUGUCAUGCACAACGUCACAGCGGUAUAUUCUUCAUUUCCUUUGUCAUUUUUUCUAUCUUUGAUUUAGUAUUAUUUUUGAAUUUGCCUUUCUUGUUUCGCAGGCCAAUUUUCUUCCUUCUGAGGGCCUUCGGAGGUUGAUUUAGGAAAGGAGGAACUUACCUCCGAGCGGGAUCAACUUUUGGUCGAGCAUGACCAAACUCCAGCUCGCCUCUCAAAAUUGGAAGCCAAAGAUACUGAAGAUGUUGUGUUGGAGACUCGUUUGCAGCAAAGCAAGCAAGAAGUAGAAACCCUUAGCCAAGAGAUUACGCUGCUGGGGGUUCAAUUUAAAGAGGCCAAGGCCAAAUGUGCUGAAGUCCAUAGUGUCAUUCUUGUUGCAUACAAUCGCAAGGCUGCCUCCGCUGAGAGAUUGACUAACUUAGAGGCAGCCUUGAACUCCAAACUGAAGAGCUUGCUAUUGCGGGGGUGAAAUAUGCCCAAUUGGAGGAGAAGUAUAAGAAGACUAUUGAGCAUAAUAUAAUUUUCACCUCUAGUGUCUGCGAACUCGACGUUAGCCUCAAAUCCAUUAGAUCCGCCCUGGAAAAUCUUUCUGUCGAGGCUAAACAACUUAAAGAAGAACUCAAGCACCGAGGAACUUCCCUCGUUGUUGAAAAAACUUACAUCAUACACAACAUGAGGAGAAAAACCUUGGAAGAGGCCAAGGCAGGUAUCAUUGACUUUGAUGUCGAAAUUGCUAAAGCCUGUGAGCUAGAGUCAGCUGCUAAAAGGGGUCUCCCAGUAGGGCCUGAUUCUUUUGAUUCUUCUAGUUCCGGUUCUGAAACCUCGGGAACUGAAGAGGAAUCGGAGGGCGAAGAUGUUGAAGGCCAAACUGAUGAGGACCAAGAUGUUGAGCCAUCAUCGGAUCUAGCCACUUCCCCCGGGGGCGCGGACGCUUCUCUUCCUCUGGGUUCCAAAGAUGCAGCACUUUAUCUUUUCCUUUCUUUUCCCAACUUUUGUACCUGUGUCAUUUUGGCAUGUUUGCUGUAAAUAAAAAUAUAUUUUGCUCAAGUAUUGCAUGAGUCUUUCUGCAAUCUUUCGUUUGAACAUUUAUGCAAGAUUUAAUCUUUGUAUUCUUUUUUGCUUAAGUGUUUUGCGCAAGUUUUACUGUUUGCAUUUAAUUAUGUAUGGUCUUGGGUGUAUUUUUUCCCAAAAAGCAUUUGGAUUUCAGGCACAAGUUCUUCCGAAAUCAACCCUUUAUCGUGAGGGUUUUUAUAAGAGAGGGCCCUCUUAUGUUUACGGUGCUCUUGAAGAAGACGUCUCAUAUUUAUUACGGCACUAGCAUUUGAAGUACUUGUUUAACUUUCAAAUGAUAAAAUCAAUCCAUCGUUAACAAGAAACAAGAUAGAAAUAAAAGAACUUUACUUUAUUCCUUCCAUUUUUAAAAAGUAGAUAAGCAUUCAUUAUGCUAAAAAGAAACUGCCAUUUCUUGUGGAUCUAAUGGAUCUACGAGAAAAAGCAUCUACGAGGCUGGUUGCGCAAUCCCUGGUCCUGAUGAUACAACUAUGUUUCUGAUUUUCGUAUUCCAGUUGACGUGGCAGUCAUUGUUGUCGUAUCCUCAUAUCAAUCCACCCCCCAGUGUUCGAAUGCGAAGGAAGAGAAUUGGAACACUGGAAGUUUUGCAUCUUCGAGGAUUCCACUAAUCAAUUGCUAGAUAAUAUUUAGUUUGGUAACAAACUUCACUUCCCGUUAGAAAUUUAUGCUAUCGAGCCAAAGACUAUCUAACAAUCCUCUAGUGGUUUACAGUUGUGAAUGGUCGAGUAACCUUUGCUUGAUAGCAAACUUAAUUUCCCUGUGGGAAUUUUGCUACCAAGCCAAAGAUUAUCUAACUUCUCUGGUGUGGUUCUUCGCUUGUGUGCCUUGUUAUUAAAGGUGUUAUUGAUUUUGUUGAAACCUUUUUCGUAGUAUGCAUUCUGUUGCUGCCUCGUAAAAAACCUUGCCAGAAAAAUCCAAUUGCGACAAAAACUGGACGAAGGAAAAAAGAGUGCAGCACAUACUUUCAGUACAGGUGAUGUUCAUCAGCAAUAAUAUCUCUUGAGGUGUUCCACAUUCCAGUUGCUUGGCAAUGUUUCUCCAUCCCGAUUCUCCAACUCGUACGAACCUUUCCUAGUGAUAGCUGAAACCUAGUAGGGGCCUUCCCAAGUUAGACCUAGCUUCCCUGCGUUGAGUUCCCCAGUGUUUUGUGUUACUAUCCUUAGAACCAAGUCCCCUACUUUGAAAUAAUGGAGGUUGGCUCUUCGAUUAUAAUAUCUUAUCAUUCUUUGCUUUUGGGCUGCCAUUCUUAUAUAUGCCAAGGCACUGCGCUCAUCGAGUAACUCCAAGUUUAUUAACAUUGCUUCGUUGUUUUUCUCUUCAUUUGCUUGGAAAUUUCUCAAGGUAGGCUCCCCUACUUCCACAAGGAUUAAGGCUUCUACUCCGUACACAAGGGAAAAAGAAGUUUCUCAUGUACUUGAUUUGGUCGUUGUUCGGUACGCCCAUAGCACUCCAGGCAGUUCCUCAGGCCAUUUACCUUUGGCCGCUUCCAACCUCAUCUUGUGAUUUUGUAUAAUCAAUUUGUUCGUUGAUUCCACUUGACCAUUUGCGCUCGGAUGAUAGGGCAAAGAUGUGAUUCUUUUGAUUUUAAAGUCUUCAAGAAAUUUUGUGAUCUUUGCGCCUAUAAACUUUGGCCCAUUAUCGCAUGCUAUCUCUUUUGGUAUUCCAAAUCUGCAAAUUAUGCUCUCCCAUAAGAAAUCCACCACCUCACAUUCGCCGAUCUUCUGAUAAGGACCUGCUUUAACCCACUUAGAAAAAUAGUUAGUUAAAAUUAAAAUAAAUCUUAUCUUACCAGGGGUCGGCGACAGUAGUCUGGCGAUAUCCAUUCCCCACUUCAUGAACGCCCAUGGAGAAAGAACUGAGUGUAAUAGUUCUGCUGGUUGAUAUACCAGUGGUGAGUAGCGUUGACACUUAUCGCAUUUUUGCAUGAAAGUAAUGGUGUCUUGUUCCAUUCGAGGCCAAUAGUAUUAUGCCCUUACUAGUUUUAGUACUAAGGAGUUUGCGCCCGAAUGAUUUCCACAUAUCCCUUCAUGGAAUUCUCGCAUAACAUAAUUAGCUUUGGAGGCUCCGAAGCAUCGGGCCAGCGGGCCUUGAAACGUUUCCAGUACAAUUGGCCUCCUUUGAAGCUAUAUCGCGCUGCUUUGGCGCACACCGCCCGAGAUGCCUUGGAGUCUCCAGGCAACUUCCUGUGUUCGAGAUAAUCAAUGAUCUCAUUCCUACAGUCCUAGACCAAAUUAGUAAUAUUCACCUUAUAGUAGCUAUCUGCGUCCAGAAUCGAGUGCAUGAGCUGCAUUACCAUCUCGUUACCUGAUCCCUUCAUUUCUAUUGAUGAACCGAGGUUGGCUAGUGCAUCCACUUAUGCGUUUUCUUUCUUGGGAUAUGCGUAAUUGACCACUCCAGGAAUCAAGCAAGCAGAGCCUAAACCUUCACCACGUAUUGUUGCAUGCGCUCGUCUUUGGUUUCGAAGAUCCCGUAGACCUGAUUUACCACCAGCUGGGAAUCGCAUUUGACUUCUAUGAUCUCGGAAUCUAGUCCCCUAGCCAAUUCGAGUCUAGCAAUCAAAGCUUCAUACUAUUCUUCGUUGUUAGUCAAAGGGACCGUUCUUAUGGCCUGUCUUAGGGUUUCUCCUGAAGGUGUGGUUAAUACUAUGCCAAGUCCGGACCCCUUUACGUUGGAAGCUUCAUCCGUAAAUAAGGUCCAAACUCUCGAUGUCGAUUCUGACACUAUCACUACUUCUUUGGUUGCUAGAGACAGCAAUCUCGGACUGAAAUCGGCCACAAAGGAGGCCAAAACUUGUGACUUAAUCGCGGUCUUAGGUUUAUACUCUAUGUUGAAUUCACUCAUUUCGACGGCCCAUUUGGCCAAUCUACCCGAGAGUUCGGGUUUGUGAAGGAUAUUCUGCAGGGGAAAGGUAGACACUAUAGCGAUCAGGUGACAUUAGAAGUUAGGCCCUAGUUUCCGAGCGGCGACUACGAGAGCUAAGGCCAACUUCUCCAAAUACGAGUAGCAAGUUUUUGCUCCCGUUACCUCUUCUUCGACUUUAUUCCUGGCCUCCGCAAUUGGGCGUUUCUUUUGUCUUACCGGAGGGAUGCUGGGAUCCAAGCUUAACUUGUGUACGGUCACUUUUGUUGGGAUACCUAUCAUAUCUGCAUGCGACCAUACAAAAUAAUCGGCAUUAUACUUAAGAAAUUCAAUAAAUCCAGACCUGAGCUCGGGCUGCAGUCCUGUCCCCAAGUGGAAUUUCCUUUCCAACAACUUUUCAAACAAUGCAACUUGCUCGAGCUCUUCCGUUGAGGACUUCGUUAUGUCCGUCUCUUCUGGUACCUGGAAAUAUCUUGGCACCUGAUAAGAUUCCGACGCUUCUUCCCCCUAGUUAACUUCACUUGAUCCGGGAGCAGGCGUCGGUUCCUGUAAUUUCUAUGUCGCAUGUUCCUUCCCUUUGAUACUUGAGACUGAAAUUGCAUCCAUCUCCCUUGCCACCAGUUGGUCAUCUAUUAUCUGUUUUAUCCCUUCGGGAGUUGAGAAUUUCAGCAACUAAUGCUAUGUUGAUGGUACGGCUCUCAUCUCAUGCAACCAUAGUCUUCCCAUCAUAAUGUUAUAACCCAUAUCAACGUCAACAACCUCAAAAAUGGUUGUCUUUAUCACCCCCUCGACAUUUGUGGGCAGCAAGAUCUCUCCUCGGGUCGUUACGCUGGCGAGGUUGAACCCGGCGAGGAGUUUUGUGGCCAGAAUAAUGCUUCUGUUAAGUUUGGCUUGCUCCAAUACCCUCCAUUGUAUGAUAUUUGCCGAACUUUCUAGAUCCACCAUAACACGUUAUUUUAGAAUCUAAUAUAUUUAGAGAAAGUACCAAUGUGUCGUUGUGCGGUAGCAACAAUCCGUCUGUGUCCUCCUCCAUGAAAGUGAUGUCGUCUUCAGCGACUUCCCAAAAUCUCUUGAUGUGGGUUACUGAUACCUCCAUCUUUUUUGCUACCGAGAAGGUAACCCCGUUGUUGUUCCCCCAAAAAAUCAUGUUGAUCGUCUAGUGCGAGGUCUUCCCCUAUUUUCGAGGGCUCUGCAUUAUCACGGUUGCGACCAUAAUUGUUCUUGGCCCGGUCACUUAAUAAUUCCCUGAUAUGGCCAUUUUUUAGUAACGCCGCCGCCUCUUCAUGCAGAUGCUGACAGUCCCCAGUCCGAUGGUCAUUCGUCUCGUGGUACUCGCACCACAAAUUAGGGUCCCUCUGGCUGGGAUCGGACCUCAUCGGCUUCGGAAACCCUGCUUAUUUAAUGUUCUUCAUAGUCGAUACCAACUCUACCACACUGAUAUUAAAGUUGUAUUCUGAUAGCCUGGGAUAGGAAGGAUCCUGAGAACCUGACGUUUCUUUGUCCUGCAAUGAUCUGUUACUCCGACCGUGAUUAAUUCUUCUAUCGGUAACGAACUUGUCUGCUUACCAAAAACCUAUGCCACAUCUUUUAGCCCGUUCGUAGGGCAAAAACUAGCUCCUCGAAGACUGUCUAUCUGUGUCAAAAUCAUCUUUUGAUUUUUCUUUAUUCUUCUCCUGACCUUUUGUCGACGCUGGGAAGCCAAUCUGAUAAUCUUCGAUCCUUAUCUUGGACUCAUAUCGGUUGUGAACAUCCGCCCAAGUCGUCCCUUAGAACUCAAGCAAGCUUUUCUACAAUUUCUAGGAAGCAUCAGAACUUCUCGGAUUCGAACCCUUGGUGAAUGCUUCAGCCUCCCAUUUAUCCGGAAUAGCUGGGAGCAACAUUCUUUCCUUUUGGAACCGGGUGACGAAUUCCCGCAGCAACUCGGCCUCUCCUUGUGCAAUUCUGAAUAUGUCCGUUGUUAGGUCCUGCACCUUUCUGGCUCCGGCAUGGGACUUAAUAAAAAAAAUAUGGGAGCAUCUCAAAUGAAUCUAUGGAAUGUUCGGGCAACAGUGAAUACCAUGUCAAGGCUUCCUCGUGAGAGUCUCUCCAAAUCUUUUCAGCAAAAUAGAUUCGAUCUCAUGGGGAGCUAAAUCGUUCCCCUUCACUGUUGUUGUAUAUGUGACAAUAUGCUCCUGAGGGUCCAAAGUCCCAUCAUAUUUUGGCAUGUCGAGCAUUUUAAACCGCUUCGGGAUCAAUUCUGGUGUCGCGCUUGGUUUGUAUGGAAACUGAGUGUACUUCUUUGAGUCUGGCCCCUUCAGCACCGGUGGUGCGCCCGGGAUUUGGUUCAUGCAAGGGUUUAUAUCCCUCAUAAACCAUAAGAGUUCACUUUUGAAGGGAUCACUCUCGUUGUUGUGACCGGACCCACUUCCCCAGCCUCAUCAAAGCUGACCUCGCCCCUCGGGGUGUUGUUGUCGGCCCUUUGCUUUGUUUGAUUAGCGGGAGCACCGGGAGGAACUGGACCUCGUCCAUUCGUGUUAUUGGAAGCAUCCGACAACGCCUGUUUCAGUUCUAUCAUAGCCUUAUCAUGUCAUGUGAGGUUGCCUAAAAUGACCUCUUAUUGUUCCUGCAAGACCCUUACUGCUUCAACAACAUGCUCCUCUUCAGCAUCAUCAGGAAUCAUCUCACGAACAUGUCGCGAGUACCGCCUACCAUGGACUGGCGUGGAAUCGUUUCCCCCAUUGCGGGUAUCACUGAUUGAAUCCUCGUGCUGAAGCUGGUCUCUUUGGGUCUCAAGAUUAUGUGUGUUGUUAAUACCAUUAUCUGCCAUUUUUGUGAUUUUUACUAAGAACGGAUAAACAAAACACGUUAGUAAAAAAGGCAAGGAUCAACUUAAUUACACAAUUGUCUAGGCCCCACGGUGGGCGCCAAACUGUUUACCCGUAAAAUGGUACAGUUGAAUUUAUAUGUGGUUUCUAGACAAGUGAAUUAAUUCAAUCCUGAAAUAAUAAAAAAAAUUAAAGAAAUAUGCAAUACUUAGCCUUGAGAUCAAGAUGAAAUAGCAGAAACAGUAGUUCCAGGAGCAAGGUUAUAAAACUCUGAAUGGAUUAUAGCAUAAGUUUGCCAGAAUAUUCGUGUCCUUUGCAAUAAUAACAUAGCUCACUAUUUAUAGUUGUACUUAGGGAACAAGUUCCUAGGAUCAUUCCCUUCUUUAAUGUCAAUUAUAAGAGCCAUUGAAGAAUGUGUAACGGUGAGCAUGAAUGGCAAAUUCUUUGUAACAGAUAGUGUAUUAAAUGCUGAAGAAUAUUCUCCAUUAAAUACUACCGGGUGACAAGAAUUUAUUGCAUCUUUAUGUACAUUAUUCUUUCCGGUAACAAAUGUAACAGUUGUCUUCGGUCUUAGUUAUCCUCUGCCUUCGAUUCCACGUGUCACCCUCUUAUGCAAUUACUUAACAUAACAUAUUUUAUCCUAUAAAAUAAUUACUAGGGUCGUAAUUACACAACCUAGUAAUUACGAUGACCUGUUUGUUUGUUAUAACAUAAUUACAGUGUAAUUAUAAGCGUACUGUUUGGUUUCACAAAUGUAAUUACACAAUUAGAUUAAAUUUUAAAUGAAGUAAUAAUCGAAACUAAAACUUAAUAUAAUAAAUAUAUGCCUAUAAAUAAUUUUUAUAAGUAUAAAUGAUAUUAGAUUUGGUAUUUAAGAUGCAUAAUGUUUCUUGAAUAUACACUAAUUAGUAAUCAUAUAUUUAUAACUAAUAUAAUAAAAAUAAUUGAUAUAUAUUUUUCAAAUUAAUAAUAUUUAAUUUAAUUAAUUAUAAAAACUAAAAUAUACGUUUUGUAAAAACAUCAUUGAAUGCAUGUUUGAUAAAAUAAAUUAAUAUUUAUAAAUAUAAUGUCAUAAUAUUAUGCAAAUGUUUGACAAAACUAAUCAAUUCUAACUAAAAAAUGAACAACAUACAAUGUGAAAUAAUAAGCCAAUACUAUUAAAACAAGUAAAUUGGAACAAUAAAUAUAACACAAUUUCAAAAUCCAAAAAAAAAAACUUUAACAUAUGUCAAAUUCCAAUAUAAUAAAAAAAAGUUCCAAUACAACUUAAGAUUAGGAAACAUAAUAAGUUUAUAAUUUCAUUCAACAACGGAAUUCUAUUUUAAUGACAUCACUCAUUAUAUGCCAAGUUUGUUAAUGUCACGCCUCGAACCUGGGUCUGGACGUAACACGGCACUCGGUGCCUGACUACAUGUGACCGAGCGAACCAAUUGGCUGGCUGAAUAAACAUGUGAUAUCAUAACAUACUGAAUGCGGAAGAUAAACUAGCACAUAUUAAUAACUGAAAGUCUGAGAGACAAAAAUCAAAGAGCGAAAAUACUAAUAUAAUUCUAGAACAUAUCUAUAGCAAACAUUGCUUAACAUGAAAAGCAUGCGACUCUGUCUAACUGUUACUCUAUUCUAUGAAGCCUAUAAUGAAGUACUGAAAAUACUGACUAUCUGUAAAUACUGAAAGACUGUAAAUAAUGAUAAUGCCCCGAAAGAACUAGGGCUCACCAAAUAGCUGGUACGAGAAUCCUAGCGCGCUGAGUCAUCAACCUAUAAAUCAUUAUCUGCAUUGUGAGAUGCAUGCCCCGGGCAAAAGGGGCGUCAAUACAUUUGAAUUGCACUAUUAUGUAAAGCAACUAAAAGAAAGAAAUGUAAAUGAUGAAACUGAAACUGAAACUGAAGUGAUAACUGAUAUCUGAUAACUGAAAUGAUAACUGUUGAAACUGAAACUGAAAUGAUAACUGAUAACUAAUAACUGAAAUGAAUACUGAUAAUUGAUAAUUGAAAUGAUAAUUGAUAACUGAUAAUUGAACUGAAUAAAGGAAGUAAUGAUAUGAAUACUCCCUAUUCUGAAUGAUGAACCACCUGUCUAUCUGAAUAAACUACAGCAUCGGGCCCAAUAUAUGUGCACAAGCUACGGCCUCAGGCCCAAGUAUACAUAUACAUAACUACGACCUCAGGCCAAAAAUGCAUAAAGCAUAAACUAUGGCCUCACGCCCAAACAUGCAUAAAGCAUAAUCUACAACCUCAGAUGUCACGACCAAAAAUUCACUAUAGGGUGUGAUGGUGUCUAACGCCGCCAUCAGGCAAGUCAACAGUGAUUUAUCAAUUUAAUUAACCAUUUUCUUACUUUAGAAAUCAUAGAUUUUAGUCAGGAAGGAGAUUUACACUUCUAAAUCCACGGGAACGUACAACAUUUGUAGUUUAUAAAAGAAAUGAAAGGCGAUAAUAAUAUACGAAAUCAUAAGCAUCAACUAGUAUAACCCCAAAACCCGAUGUCACAAGUGUAUGGCCAUUUACUAAGGAGUAGAAUAAUAAUAAUACAAUAUCUGUCUAGAAUGUAAAUAAGACGGGAUAAAAUAAAUAGUAUGAUGGAUACUCUGUGGACUGCGAUGCGUAGCCUGGUAUGCAGCUCACAUUAAGUCUCCUCCACUGUUGCGCCUACGCGCCAAGAUGAUCAUCAAAUGAACCUGUCAGAUCCUACACAUUUAGUGCAGAAGUGCAGCAUGAGUACGUAAAUUAUCGCGUACCCAGUAAGUAUCUAGCCUAACCCCGGAGAAGUAGUGACGAGGGGUCGACAUCGACACUUACUAGAGGUCCAAUAAGGGAAUAUAAUAAAUCAUAAGCAGAUAUGAAGCACACGACAAUAAUGUUGUAAAUCUGUAAGUUACAUAAUCUUCCAAAUAUUUCCUUUAAAGUAUAAAUUUCUCAAUCUUGUAUUCUACCUUAACAUCUCAGAAAAUAUCAAGUGUCAAUAUCAAAUGAAUAAGGAAUACCAUAUAAAAUGUAGGGCAUCAAUGAAAAGAUAAUCUCAUGAAUAUUUGAACUGCCAGCGAUAUAACACAUGAUUAUGCCGAGGUCGUUUGGUCCGAUCCAGAAUAAUAUGUACACUGGAGGCGUUCGGCCCGCUCCACAAGAAAGGAAGGGAAAUCAUCUAAUUACGAGACGCGUGCUUACAAUACAUGGGUACGAAGCGAAUUUAACCUUUACCAUUUUUCAAAUAACUUUCCAACAACUCAAGGUAAUAAAGCUCGUCCUACUUUAUAUGUAUGUAUUUCUAAAUAAAUUCAAUUAUAAUUUCAAUUAAUUAAGCCAGCAUAAUGAAUUCAAGUAUUUCAAUUAUUACAUGAUAAAGUCCUAAGUCUACCCCGACAUAAAAAUGCUUUAGCUACAUAUGGACUCUCGUCGCCUCAUGCGUACAUAGCACCCACAACUAACAGCACAUAACAAUUACAUCACCUGGGGGGUAAUUUCCCCCUCACAAAGUUAGACAGGAGACUUACCUCGCUCCGAAGUUCCAUAACCGACUCCAAUGCCUCUCUAACACCUCAACUCCAAGCCAAACAUUCCGAAACUAAUCAAACAACGUGUAAAUCAAUCAAAAUAUACUCCAAUGCUUACAAUUUAAUAAUUUGUAACAAUUCCCAACUCCACUCGAAAAUUCAAUAAAAUCAACCCUCGGGUCCACGUGCCCGUAUUCCGAAAACCUUCGAAGAUAAACUUUACCCAUAAUACCACGAACUCAAUAUAUAAUUUAUUCCAAAUUUCAUGUCCAAUUUCGUAGUCAAAAUCCAAAAAUACCAAUUUUUAGGUUUUCUACCAAAAUCCCAAAUUUUUACUAAUUUCCAUGUUUAAAUCCAUAUAUAAACCAUGUAUUUAACUCACAAUAUGCGGGAAUUACUUACCUUGAUAUAGAUGAUGAAAAUCUUCCCUCCAGGACCUCCAAAAAUCGCCCAACCAAAUGAAAGUUGUGAGAGAAAUUGGCUAAGUCUCGGAUUAAAAACACCCCACUGCCCAGCGACCUUCGCACCCGCGGUCAACUAGUCGCUUCUGUGGCUCUGCACCUGCGAAAAAAUCCAUCGCAGGUGUGGUUCUCUCCAUGCCAGGCAAAUCCUCUUAUGCGAAUCAAAUUCCGCUCUUGCGCGACCUCUUUUGCGGUCCACACCUCGCUCCUACGCACUCGCACAUGCGGAAACCUUUCGCUUCUCCGACUCCAGCUUCCAGCUCACUUUUCGCUUCUGCAGAGCAUUCUUCGCAUCUGCGGGCUCGCAUAUGCAAAAAUAUCCUUGCAUCUGGGGCAAUCCCUGCUCAGUCCAAAUGUCGCUUCAUCGACCACAACGCCGCACAUGCGGGCUCGAACCUGCGGCCCUUUCCACGCAGGUGCGAUUACACAAGAUCCGAGCUACCUCAGCACUUCUCCCAAGUCCAAACUCGAUUCGUUUCCAAUCCAAUUCGCAGUUAAGGCCCCCGGGACCCCGUCCAAACAUACCAACACAUCCCAAAGAAAGUUACGGACUUAGUCGAAGCCUCAAACCAUGUCAAAGCACAUCAAAACUAUAAAUAAAUGGCCAAAAUCUUUCUUCCAACUUUCCAGCCUUCAAACUUUGUCGAACGCGUCCGAAUUACACUUAAACAUUCCGAAAUGACGCUAAAUUUUACGCACAAGUCACAAAUCACGAUACGAACCUAUUUCAAGGCUCGGAACUCCAAACGAACAUCGAUAGCAUAAAAAUCCACUUCAAACCAAACUUAUAAAAUUCUAGAACUUCCAAAAUGCCAACUUUCCAUAAUAGGCGAUGAAAUGCUCCCAGACCACCCGAUACUCAAUACAAACACACGCCUAAGUCCGAAAUCAUCAUACAAACCAGUUGGGACCUUCAAAUCCCGAUUCCGAGGUCGUUUACUCAAAAGUCAAACCUUAGUCAAGUCUUCCAAUUUAAAGCUUUCGAAUUUAAAAUUUUCUUUCCAAAUCAACUCCGAUUUUUUCGAAAUUCAAUUCCGACUAUGCGUACAAGUAAUAAUACAUGAAGUGAAGCUAUUCAAGGCCUCAAACUGCCGAACGAUGCGUUAAAGCUCAAAACGACCGAUCGAGUCGUUACAUCAGGCCCAAAUAUGCAUAAAGCAUAAACAACGACCCCAUGCCCAAAUAUAGGUGUUCAACAUCCAUAGAUUUAAAUUCAGGAACUGAGAUUCAUACUACAAUAUGUGAUGCUGAAAUAUUGAAUCAUAUUGAGUUACAUGAUACUGGAAUAUUGAAUAGGACUAGACUGAGACAUGUAUUCUUGAACUGAUUAUGAAAACUGAAACUUCAAUUGUUUAUGACAUGCUGAGUAAUCUAGACUGAGACUCAUGGGCAUCAAACCCAAGCCUAUAUUGAUUACGCACUGAGCUCACAAUGUUCAGAAUGAAAGUCAUGAACAGGUUAUGAAGCUAGAGAAUAGAAGUUUUGUAACUAUUCAAGGAACUAGGUUUAACUAUAUUUCUGAGGCAAUUAGUAACGUUGUAAAAGAAAUGUAGUAUAGGGAGAAUCAUUCACAUUCCCAAACAUAGAGAGUUAGCCUCACAUACCUUAACUUCCUGCUCUUGAGCGUAAUACAACAUCUGCUAACCCUUUCAACUUUAAUCUAUAUCAAUACAAGUCAAAGGGAUUCCAUAUUAGCAAUAAUACUUAUAUUUUGGUCACUUAGGCAUUUUAUCAAACACCUUGAGGGCAUAAAGCCUCAUAGACCUCAUUAAUGGUGUUUCAACACCCAACAACCCAUUCUCUUGCUCCUAGAUAAAUUCUAAAAUCUCAAAUUUCUUAUAAUCGAUAUCAUUCCUCAUCACCCAUAAGAUAAACAACACCCUUAACCAAUAAUCAACAAUCAAUAACCAAAACAUAUAAGUGUUCAUACUUUUCUACCAGCCCCAUCAACUCAUAUCUCAUGAACUUAGAUUCUAUAAUCAUUAACCCAAAGUUAUAAUCAAUUGGAGGGUGAAGAUAUUAUCUUUUUAAAGUUCAAUCUUCUUGAAUUCGAGUUCUAGGGUUUCGUCUCUCAAAACUGAUGUCCCAAUCGAAUAUCUAAUAAUUUGAAAGAUUUACCCAUGUUAAUAAGGUAUUGGAGAAUUGAAAUAAACUUAGGAUCACCAUUAAAACUUACCUUGGAUGGUGGAGGGACCUCUAAGGAGAUAGGUUCUUGAGCGCUUCCUUUUCUAGAGCAACGUUUAGUAUUUUUGGGGUGUGGGGGACGAAGUGGGGCUUUUAAAAUGACCCCCAGGGUGCGCUCCUGCGCAGAUGAAGGCCCAACUGCGCACCUGGAUGCACAUCAAGGUAGUAGCACUGCCACAAGUGCACAGCCGCGCACGGGAUCAUCUGGGCGCGCACCUGGGCGCGCAUACUGCGCAUUGUCCAGUAUAACGCAUAUAACGUUUUGCUCAGAAAUCUGUUCAGACUACACAAUAUAUCGUUGGAAUGAUAUUUCAAAGGGCUACAUCUUUCAUGUAUUAGGUUUUCCCAAAUUCUCAACAAAGUUUAACGAAAUUCGGAUAUAAGACAGACCUUCUAUAAACUUAGUCGAUUUUAUCGAAUCUUAUGUAACUCACUCUCCGUCAUGAUUCCAAAACAAAUAGUUCCACCCAUAAUCAUCCCGAUAGGACUUCAUAUGUCUAAGAUGUCACAUUAAUACGCAUUUAACAUGUCCACACCUAGUCCGAAUUUACGGAGUGUUACAGUUAAUGACUUAUUAUUUCUAAUAUUAGGAGGUGUAGUUUGAAAAACUAGAAUAAUAAUGCAGUUACGCUAAAUGAAGAAAAUAAAACAAAUAAGAAAUAAAAUAUAAGAGCAAUUAUCUGGAAUCACAAGAAAUAAAGGUAGAGAAAUAAAAAAUAAAUAAUGUGCAAAGAAAAUAUAUUUUAAAAUUAAAAAAGAAAGUAAAAAGUAAAAAUAAAAUAAAAAAAUAAAAAUAAUGGAAAUAAAAAGUUAUAAAGAAAAUAAAUAAAAAUAAAAAUAAAAAUAAAAAGGAAAAAAUUAAAAAAUAACCUUGUAAUUACACAAUAAUUAGCAACAAUUCUCAACUCUCCCUUGAGAAUUGGAGAGUGUAAUUACACAUCUCCAAUUACACUCAGUUUCAUGUUGACCAAGUAAUUACUUGCUCAUACAAACAUGUCAAACUGUGUAAUUACAUCAAAUUACACCCAAAUCCAACUCCUAUGUGACUUUCCAAACAUGCUCUUAUAGUUUGAUAUUUUUUUAGAUACUUUUCGUAUCGAUAGUGUUUGAAUUAGUUUGUGCACAUCUCAAUUGUUUUAUUUAAUAAUAUAGUAUUCUACCAACACACAUAUCAAAAUUAAUUUUCAUCCAUCAAAAUUUAAAUAAUGAAGUGAUCCAUCAAAAUUUAAAUAAUUAGUAUAUUUUUGUCUCCAUUAAAAUUUGAGAAGUGAUCAUGCCAGGAACGCAGCUGAAACUCCAGAGGCGCGCACUUGGGAGCAAUUUUUCUUGCCUAUGUCUACCGGUGCCAAAAUGAUUAAAAAAUAAUUAUUUACUCAUAUUAUUCAAUAAAAAAUGGGUUGAUUAAUGAACUUUUUAAAAACGGAUUAAAUAUGAAUAAAAACUAUAUUAUUCACUUAGAAAAUAGAUAGUCAUUGAGUUUAAAUUUUAUAUUUGUAACUCAAAUUGAGAGUUUCUAAAGUAUGGGGUAGAAAUUCUCUCAAAAGUGAUAAUAUUCAAGAAGUCAUGAUAAUUCAUAUUGUCCGUCGAUUAAUCUAUUUUUUAUCCGUAUUAAAUAUAAAUUAAAUUAAAUAAUUUAUUUAUUUUUAUAUUUUUCUUUUUUCAAACCGCACAGAUCCGGCUCGACCCGUUCAAUUGCCACCACUAAUUGCCACCACUAUCAAUGCCCAGUGCCCACAACUUUUAUUACUAUUCAUUUUUGGUGCUAGGAACAAAGAACCAUAGUCCACUACAGUGCUUGUAGUGUGAGUGGAGAUGUGUCCGUCUCCGUGUCUCGCACUGACCUUAAGUAGUAGAUAAUGUUAGGCAAAUAGCCACCGACUCAUCCUUUCCCCCUUUUUCUGUCUUUUUCAAUAUUAGCCUUUUGGGUUGUAUCUUUUCUUUCUUUUUCGAGAUCUAUACCUUUUUUUUAAAACAUCAUCACGUCUACGCAAUUUAGUGACUUAACUAAUUUAAAUUCGUAUUACGGAUAAUAAUCAAAGUGAAAAUAUUCUCUUAACCAGGAACUCAAAAUUUGAACUUCUAAACCUAGGGUAAAAAUUCCAUUCAUCUCACAACAACCACACUCCUUGAUGAUUUAUAAUCUGUUUGGUCAAUUAUUUUUUGGAUCUAUUUUUUUUUCAAAGUUAAUAUAUUUGACCGAGCUUUUAGAAGAAAAAAAUAAUAUUUUUGAGUAAAAAUAUAAGCUAUUUUUAGAUGAUACAUAUUGCUAAAAGAAAUAGUUUUUUUUUAAAAAAAUAUACUUAAAAGUAUAUUUUAAAAAUUUGAUCAAAUACCAAUUGAUAUUCAACUGUACCUUUUUAAUUAUUCAUCAAAAAGUACUCCAAAAAAAAAA